rnacentral:lncRNA from 1 species
CUAGAUGGAAUGAAUCACCAUAGAUAGUCGAACCACACUUAAUUUAACACAGUACACGAAACAAAGCAAACGGGACGGGUCGAAGGGGCGCGCUUGCUUGCUUGCUUCCCUACACGAAUGCGGCGGCGGCCGCCGCGGCCCCAGCGGUGCGGAGGAUCUGGUAGUAGACCUGCGGGUUGGCCACAAACGCCGUGCGGGAAAUCAGGAAGCCGGCGGCACCAGGCGCCUUCAUCAUGGCGCCGGCGGCGGCUGGGGCGGCUGCAGCAGGCCAGAGAAAGUAGGCGCCCACGGCGCCCCCGAUGACCAUCGCCGCGGUCCCCACGGCACCGUCGCGCGUGGAGAGCUUUGCAGGCAGGUACGGUUUGGCCAACGAGAUGGUGGAGGCCAUGGCCGCUCCUGUAUGGUUCUUGACGUAGCCGAGACCGGUGACGAUGUCGCCUGUGCUCAUCUCGGUUAGCUUUGCGGGAAGGUACGGCUUGGCCAACGAGACUGUGGAGGCCAUGGCCGCUCCUGUAUGGUUCUUGACGUAGCCGAGACCCGCGACGAUGCCACCCGUGUUCAUCUCGGUUAGCUUUGAGGGGAGGUACGGCUUGGCCAGCGAGACGGUGGAGGCCACGGCGCUCGCCUGUUGCUUGACGAGGUCGAGACCGGAGAAGAGGAGGUCGCGGGUGCUCAUCUCGCCUGGUUUUCCUUUCCGAUUUGUGGUCGUUUGUGUGGACUUAUACCUCACUAAAUGGAUGAGACGACGCAAAGCGUGGAUUUAUAGCGACGAAGGUGAUCUAUACCUAGACAACGACGCGCGACGACCUUGACUACCAACAGUACUAUCGACAGCACUAACAUGUCACCAUAUGAAGAAGAAUCAAAAGAUUACAAAAGAGGCUAUAUAAAAAUCAUUCACCGCUGGUCCCUUUGUACCUACUCGGCUAAAGCACAGGAUGCCCAGGCGUGGUGCGGAAGGCAGUCACCUCGACCAACUCUACUUUCCAUGCCAUGAUAGACUGAUACACCCAUCUAAACAACCAAGUGUACGGAUUAUCUAUAAUUUAUUAAACCAACUCUACCGCACGACCCCAUUUCGUUCGUUCUUAGUUCGUUUAGAUUAAACGGACGAAUAGCUGAACCCGACGUGCAGUCCCAAAUGAACAAAUAUCUGAUUUUCGUCCAUUUUCAUUCUAUUCCGGGCCCAAACAUGCGUCGCGUUUGGAGUAAAACGGACAACGUGCGGACGGGCGGGACACGCGUCCUUGUCCUCCCCAUGGCCCGCCUGUCGGGACACUGGCACUUCAUUCAUUUCCAACGCCUCCAUCCGCCCUCCCCGCCCCACCUCGCCGUCGGAGCCGCCACUAUUUUUUCAGCCGCCUCCUCACUGCUCACCCCCCGGCCGUCCAUACCAAACCAAGUCUCGCCAUGGCCGCCACCACGCCCACGCUUUCGUAGGAAUUUUGGUCGUCUUUUGGAGAAGUUUUGGCCGUCGCCUUCGUAUCUGGUGCCAGAGGGGAUACGACCGCCGGGUGCUCUAUAGCGACCUGUAGCCGGCCGCCAAACGACCCUCCUGCAUCGAGGUGAUUUCCGCAGCCUAUUUGUCACCACGACCGCAAGGUUUCUAACACUUUGCCAACAAAGGUAUGGACAAUGGAGAUGAAUUUUUCUUCAACCACUUCUUUUGUUCAUCGGAUGAUGCGUCCUCGGAUGACGAAGAUCUUGUGGUGGUUGCACCGGUCGUUCACGACCACAUUGAAAGACAGCGGCCUCGCUACAGGCGGUCAGUCCUGGGCCGUGCUCCCAACCUGAACCACAUCAGAGAGAGAGAGGCGACGCCAUGCUCUAUGUCGAUUACUUUGAGAAUACCACACUCUUUGAACCGAAGAAAUUCCAUCGUUGUUUUCGUAUGGCAAGACAUAUGUACAGUCGUAUCCGAGAGAGAGUGAUUCGUCAUGACCCAUUCUUCGAGUGCAAAACGGAUGCCCUUGGCAAGCUUGGAUUCUUCUCUUAUUAGAAAUGCACCGCGGCCAUCCGCAUGCUUGCAUAAGGUAUUCCACGCGAUUUUGUGGAUGAGUACGUGCGCAUGAGUGAGUUCACAUGUCUGAUGUCAAUGUACAACUUCUGCAAUGCCGUGGUGGCAGUGUUUGGCCCUCAAUACUUGAGGCAGCCAAAUGCUGCUGAUACAAAAAGGCUGUUGGUAAUCAACGCCGAUAGAAGCUUUCCAGGCAUGCAUGGCAGCAAAGAUUGUAUGCACUAGGAGUGGAAGAACAGUCUAUUUGCUUGACAGGGCCAGUACAAGGGGCAUGUGAAAGCGUGCACUCUCAUAUUAGAAGUUGUGGCUUGACAAGAUCUUUGGAUAUGACAUUCUUUCUUCAGCAUGGCAGGUUCUCACAAUGAUAUCAACGUGCUGCAGCGUUCUCCAGUCUUCGCAAGGUUUGCACAAGGCCAUUCUCUACCUAGCAACUUUGAGGUCAAUAGCCACCACUACAACAAGGGAUACUACCUAGAUGCUGGUAUAUAUCCUAAGUGGUCAACUUUUGUGGAGACAAUCUCGAAACCCCAAUGUGAUAAGAGACAGAGAUUUUCCCAAAUGCAAGAGAGUGCUAGAAAGGAUGUGGAGCGUGCUUUUGGUGUGCUUCAAUCCCGAUGGGGUAUCGUUCGAAACCCUUCACUGAACAUGGAUGAAGGGAAGCAUUGGAGGUGAUGACUACUUGUGUGAUCAUGCACAACAUGAUCAUCAAGGACGAGCGUGAUAACAACAUCUUCGACCAAGGAUUUGAUUUUUGAGGUGAAAAUGUUGAGCCCCUGCAGCAAGAACCGGCCACAUUUGAACAGUUUACCCAAUUCCAUCGUGAAAUGCGUGAUUGCACACUCAUUUGGAGCUUUAAAAUGACUUCGUUCAGCACAUGUGGAAUCACAUUGGCAACCAAUAGAUGUAUUGGUUUAUUAUGUUUAUUCAAGACAAUUUCAAUUUGGUUGUAAAACCAUUUUAUUCGAGACAAUUUUGAUUGGGUUGUAAAACUAUUUUUAUUUGAAACAAUUAAAAUUUGGACGUGCAAACAUUGAUGAAUAUGAAUAUAUGGGCAUAUUGGUCGUGGCGGACAGGAUGCGACCAAAGGAUGCGUCCGCAUGUUGGGUGCACGGCCACCGCAUCCGAGGAAAGGCUGAGAGACGACCCCAUUGCCCUACCCAAAUGUCCGGGAAAAACGGAUGUCCGUUUGGGGUCGUGCGCUGAAGUUGGCCUUAGGAACAAGAGGUAGGCAGGAAUGAUCAAGCGUACAACACACAUAAGGGCAUCUCCAGCCGCGCCCCAAGAGGCCACUCAUGCCCCUUUUUAGACGCCGUCGUUACAAAAUCCCCCCCAGUCGGGCCCCCAGGACGUCGUUUUCCGCCAGAUGGUCCAUUUUUCGGGCCGGUGAACCCAGGCCGAACCCAGCACGCUGGGGGCACCUAGGUGCUUUGACAGAAGGAAAAGUUGUGUGUAGGACACUACUGUGAGGCGAGAAAUGCCUUUUCGCCGCUAGAUUCGCCCUCGUGCGCCACGGAACACCUCACCGCCAUGUCGAUCCCGACGCCGCCAACGUGCCCUCAGGUGCUGCCGCGCCGAUUGAAAAUGCCAUUUCCCUGCCAUUUUCGCGGUAGCCUCCAUCCUGCUCUCCCUGGGCGAGCUUUUCAAACCGCUCAGGCAGGGAUACCGGCGACUGCCCACCAACUACGCCAUUCAGGUGUUUGGUGAUUAGCCUGCUCGGUAAUGGACUCAAACGACGAUGACACGUUCAUGGCUCUGAUGGAGGAGAAAGCCGAGGACGACACCACCGACGAAGAGCACAUCAUGAUCCUCGCCGCGCUGGCCGGCCUAUUGCGAAUAAUGCCAAGCCGUGGAGUGGUGUCUCGGUGCCGGGGCGCCGCAAGAGCAAACAAAGACAUCACAUGGAGGUCUAUUACAUGCUCUACAUCGACUACUUCGCCGACAGUCCUAUGCAUGGCGAGAAAUUAUUUCCGCGCCAUUAUCGGAUGGACCCGAAGCUCUUCCUCAGGAUUGUGAAUGUCAUCUAUGAGUUCGACAUCUAUUUCAUUUGCAAGAAGGAUUGCACCAGUACGGUUGGAUUAUCCUCGUUCUUGAAGUACACCACGACUAUGAGGAUCCUUGUGUAUGGAUCUCCCGAUGAUAUACAGUAAUACUAAGGAGCAUGGUCGAGUCGACCACCUUUGAGUGUUUGUAGAAGUUUUGUAGGAUAGUGGUGGCAGUGUUUGGACCAUAAAAUUUGCAAUCACCCAAUGCUGAAGACACUGCUCGGAUCCUAGCGUAGAAUGCAGUAAGAGGAUUUCAUGGGAUGCUUGGAAGCAUCGACUGCAUGCAUUGGGCAUGAAAAAACUAUCCAUUAGCUUGGCAGGGGAUGUACGAAGGCACCAAAAGAGGUUGCAGAGUGGUACUUGAGGUAGUGGCCACAUAGGACCUAUGGAUUUGGCACUCCUUUGGUAUGCUAGGAACUCACAAUGACAUCAACAUACUUCAGUCCUCGAAUGUCUUUGCAAAUCUUGUUGAAGGUCAUGCUCGUUCGGUGAACUUCGAGGUCAAUGGGUGCCACUACAACAAGGGAUACUAUCUAGCAGAUGGUAUCUCCGGGAUUGUCCACAUUUGUGAAGAGUAUCUCAAACCUUGUGCGAGGAGGCAAGAAGUCACACUUUGUUAAGUGUCAGGAGGCUUGCAGGAAGGAUGUCCAGCGAGCAUUUGGUGUGCUCCAAUCUCGAUUUACUAUUGUCCAGUACCCCACUCUUACCUGUGAUACGUCUCCGUCGUAUAUAUAUUUUUUGAUUGUUCCAUGCCAAUAUUAUACAACUUUCACAUAUUUUUUGCAACAUUUUAUAUGAUGUAUUGGACUAACAUAUUGAUCCAGUGCCAAGUGUCAGUUCUUGUUUGUUGCAUAUUUUUUGUUUCGGAGAAUAUCCAUAUCAAACAAAGUGCAACGCGAUAAAAUUUUAAAGAGAAUUAUUUUGAACAUGGAAUCAACGUAAAUGGCGGCCCACGACCUCCACUAGACACCAGGGCGUGCUUGGUCCACCUGGCACAGGGUGGUGUCUACUGGGCACCCCUUAAGUUGGUUGGGGCUCUUCUUAGGGUACAAGAAAUAUAAUUUAUUGAUAAAAGUCCCUCCAAAAUUUCGGCACAACCGGAGUUACGGAUCUUCGAGAAUUUAUGAAACGGUGAAGGACCAUAAAACAGGAACAUGCAACAGAAGAGAACAUAGAGGGAGAUGCAAUCUCGGAGGGGCUCCUUCGCCUCCGCCGCCAUGGAGGCCGUGGACCAGAGGGGGAACUCUCCUCCCAUCUAAGUGGAGGCCAAGGAAGAAGAACAAGGAGGGAGGCUGUCCCCCCUCUCUCCCGGUGGCACCGGAGUGCCGUCGGGGCAAGGAGCGUGACGGAGAUUGACACGUCUCAAACGUACAGACUUUUACAAACACUUUUGCUAUUGUUUUGGCCUCAUUCAUGCAUGAUUUUAAUGAAACUAACCUGAACUGACGCUGUUUUCAGUAGAGCUGCCUAUAUGGUUUUCUUGUGUGCAGGAAAAUGGAUGUUUAGGCGCCCCGGAAAAUUCCAAUAAAAAAUAGAUAAAUCCACGAACCGGGAGGAACCCUGGGUCAGAAGAUGGGCGAGAGGGGGGCCACCAUGCCUCCAGGCGACCUUUGGGCGCGGCCUGCCCCCUGGCCGCGUUGGGAGGCCGCCUGGUGGGGUCCACCUCCUCUGAUGCCCUACUUUGUCUUCUAUUUUUUUCCUGAUGGAGAAAUCCCAGAAGAGAAGUCGUUUUGCAAGUUCUCGACGCGGAGCCGCCGCCACCCUCAGUUCUUUUUCGGGAGAGCUAAUCUAGAGGCUGCCUUGGCCUCCGGAGAGGGGAAAUCGUCGCCAUCAUCAUCACCAUCUUCACUCCAUCACCCUUCCAUGGAUUCCCCCAUCAUGUAUGAGUAAUUCCAUGUUGUAGGUGAAGUGGACGGCAGGAAUUGGAUGAGUUAGAUCAUGUAAUAGUUCGUCGGAUUGUUGGGGGCAUGUUGCCAAUCAUCUACCAUGGUGUUUAUCAUCUUUUCUACUACUUGUUACUCUUAAUGCUUGUCACUUCGGGACCGAGUGCCAUGAUUUCAGAUCUGAAUAUCUUAUGUUUUCAUGAAUAUAUUUGUGUUCUCGAUCCUAUCUAUGAGUAGUAUGCACCUAUUAUAGUCCGGAACAGGCAAUCCCAACGGUGACAUCUUGGGACAAAAAAAGGGAUAGACUAUGAUUUGAGGAUUCCAUGUAUCCAUUGAUUGUUAAUGCUUUGUUCCGGUGCUCUUUGACAGGAGCACCUUAAUCUCCAUAAGUUCCUUUUGGCCCCAUUGGUAGCGGGAUGAUAGGAAAAAACAUGUUGUGCAAGUUCUUAUUGCAAGCACGCACGACUACCUUGGGAUACAUGCCUAAUGAUUGAUAUUUUCCUAGAUGAUCAUUCCUUCUCUAUGUGCCUUGCCCCAUGUUAAAUACAUGAUAUCUCUCAUCCAUGACCAACCAACCAUCUCCGUAGCCUACAUGGUUUUAAUCCCGCUAGUCACUAGUUGCUCUACUUUAGCUGUUUUACUUUUGUUGCUUUGCCACCAUUAUCUCCGUUGCCACAAUCACUUUCAUAUCACCGUUACUACUAAUAUUUCGUUGCCAAGCAAGUAUCUUUCAGGUGCGGUUGAACUGACAACUCAACUAUUAAAGCUUAUAAAUAUUCUUUGGCUCCCCUUGUGUCGAAUCAAUAAAUUGGGUUAACUUACCCGCGAAGACUGUUGCGAUCCACUACACUUGUGGGUUAUUAAGACUAUUUUCUGGCAUCGUUGCGAGGGAGCAUAUAUUUAUUUACAAGUCUACUUGGAGUUAUUUUGCUUGCUGCGAUUUAUCCACUAUGGGUAAGAAAGGAGACCCCAAGGUUCCAAUCUUACCAUCUACUACACGAAAAGGUAAUGUUCUUAGCACCAGAGCCAUGCUUGAUUCACCUUCCGUUAUGAGUAAGUUUGCUUCACCACCACCACAUCCUGCUUCUACCUAGUUCGUCACUAUGCCUGAUACUUUUGAUGAUGCUUCUACUACUAUUGAUGAGACUGGUUUACUUGGUUAUUUUAUUGAGUCUCAGAUUGCUAAGGCUGCAAAGCAGUCUAGGGUUGAAAUUCCUGUUACAUUCUACCCCAUUGGUGUAUCCUUUGGUUACCCAGACUUGAGUGGUCUCAGGGAAAGAAUUCUUGAUGAUGAUUAUAUUGAACUUGAUGAUGAUUUAUGCAUGGAGCUUACAGAGUGUGCUAACUCUAACCCUGCUUCUGUUAAGAAGCUGCUUGAAAAGCAUUCUAUGAAGAAAAAUUUACUCCCAAUCCUAAAUUUGCUUAAUCUCCUAUUUGCAUUGAGGAUGCUGAUUUUAAUUUCUCUGACUAUCUUUCACGUAUAUCCACAGUUGAAGUUGACCCUUUUUAUGGCAGAGAAAAGGACGAUGCUAUUGCACACCUUACCAAAUUCACUGAGUUGGGUGGCUUAUCCACUAAGAGGACAAGAAGAGAAAUUAUCAUGUUACUAAGCUACUUCCUUUCUCAUUGAAGGAAGAUGCUAAAGCAUGGUAUGAUGCACUACCAUGUGGUUACAUUAAGAGUCCUCAAGAUUUAGCUCAAUCUUUUGUUGCUAAAUAUUUUCCUGCUCAUAAGCAACAUGCUUCUUUACAAAGAAUAUAUAACUUUACACAGUUGUAGGAUGAGCACCUCCCUAAAGCUUGGGGGAGGUAUUGCACUUUACUCAAGGCUAUACCGAGACAUGGAGUCCCUAACAAUGAAUUGCUUGAUAUAUUUUAUGCUGGUCUAAUCGAUGAAUCUAGAACCUAUCUGGAUUGUUGUGUUGGCUGUGUUUUCAGGGAAAGAACACCGAACGAUGCUGAAGAACUAAUGGGCAAGAUAGCUAAAAAUCAUGAUGACUAGUCUGUUCCUGAACCACCUCCACCACCCAAGAAGAGGGGCAUGCUUUUCUUGAGCCCUGAAGCUAUGAAAGAAGCUAAGCAGUCUAUUAAUGAGAAAUGUAUUAAAGCUGAAGAUGUGAAUAAUCUACCUCCUAUUGAGAAAUUAUGUGAGCCUACCACUCACCCACCUAUGGUAGAGGUACACUCUCUUUUAGAAUUCAAUGCAAGUGACAUCCCUCAUGGUAAGACCCCUGAUCAAUGCUUAGAUGAGCUUGAUAAUUUCAUUGUCAAGCAAAAUCACUUUAAUGAUAGGAUUCAAAGAUAGUUGCAUGAUAAGUCCCUUGCUAUCAAGAGUUUGCUUGAUGUUUUAAGUAGAACUAUGAAUGAUGUUAAAGGUCUUGUUAAGCAUUUUCAUAUGGUUCAAACUCAGCUUGAACAAAUUUCUAAUGUGCAAAAAGAUUUGCUUGCUAACAAUGCCAAACAAGUUGAUACACACGCAUAUGGUAUAAAGACCCGAGGUGGUACACACACCUAGGACCCCCUCUAUCCGGAGGGGCAUCCAAAGAGGGUCGAGAAAGAUUCUCAAUUGCAGGAAGAAGACGUUGUCAGCUCCCCGAAGAAGAAGAAUAAACACAAGGAAGCUGACAACUCCAAUGAUCCCAUAAUUGAUGAAGAACCUAUUGUUGAUCCUAAUAGUAUAUCUAUUUCCGAUGCUGAAACUGUAGAUGGUGUUGAACCUGAUAAACAUAAUGAGAAGAAUGAUCCUCCUGAGGUACAAGAAGAAGAAGCACCCGACAGGCACAAGAGGUAUACUAGAGAAGACUUUGUUGCAAGAAGACAUGGGACGGAAAGAGAACCAUGGGUACAGAAAUUAAUGCCCUUCCCAGGUAAGUCUUUCAAAACCAAAGAAGAAGAGCAUUACAAUAAAUUUUGUGAAUGGAUGAAACCUCUUUUUCUUCAAAUUCCUUUGACUGAUGCUAUUAAGUUGCCUCUGUACUCGAGGUAUAUGAAAGAUAUUGUUACUAAGGAAAGAAGAGUUCUUAAUGAGGCAAUAUCUACUAUGCUUUCUAAUUACUCUUUUAGUCGUAAGAUUCCUGAGAAGCUUCGUGAUCCAGGUAUAUCCACCAUUCCUUGCCCAUAAAAAAUAAUUAUGUCAGAACUGGUUUAUGUGAUCUUGGUGCAGGAGUGAGUGUUAUGCCUUUCUAUCUUUACAAAAGGCUUUGUUUAGAUAAACUAAUCCCUAUAGAUAUCUCUCUUCAAAUGGAUGAUAAGUCAACGGCCGUUCCUGUUGGUAUUUGUGAGGAUGUUCCUGCUGAAGUUGCUAAUUGCUUGAUACUUGGUAACUUUGUUGUGCUGGACAUUCCCGAGGAUGGGAGCAUGUCUAUUAUUCUUGGUAGACCUUUUCUUAACACCGCAGGUGCUAUUAUUGAUUGCAAUAAAGGAAAGGUGACUUUCAAUGUUAAUGAGAAGGAGCACACGAUAUAUUUUCUGAAGAAGAUUGAUAAAAGGCAUGGCAUUAAUUCUAUUGAGAAUAUUGAGUCCGUGAAGGUUGGAGCGUGGGAUUGUCCUCUACAUGUCCACCACAAAUAUCAAAUCAUUAUGGUGGGAACAAUAUCCAUUAAAAUAAAGGUACCAUGAUUGCUUUAUAAGAAGUGAAUUUUUUUUCGCUCGAUAUAUCACCUGUUUGGUAGUAAGACUUGAUCAACCUUGCUAACAAAUAUGUUUUAUAUGAGUAAAAAGAGAAGCUUUUUAUGUUUUCAUUUCUUUUAUCUUUCAUCCUCCUUGUUGUACCAAAGUUUUAUGUUUUUUAAGCUUCAUAUGUUUAACCAUUGUUUCGAGCUUUCCGAAAGUUUUGCAGCUUUCGGUACUUCGAAAAUUUUCAAAAGUGAAGUUGUUAGAAAAAUUCCAGAAAAAUUAUAAUAAGAAUUUCCAUCGAAAAAGAGACGCAGGGGCACGUGAAGCCAACCAGGGGGGCCCCCUUGUCCAGGCGGCCAGGUGGCACGUCCUGGCCCCUGGUCGCGCCCAGAGGUCGCUUGGGCCCACCUGGUCCCCUUUCGUGGUACUUCUUCCUCCCUUCUCUCUCUCAGACACCAAAAAUCCCGAUUUUUCUCGUGGAGCUCGAGUUCUUGCUGUUCUUGGUGGAAAAUUUCGACCUCUCCCUACAACCCAUCAUUUUCAUUGAGAAAUUGAGAAUUUGCUCCUUGGUAUGUGACUCCUCCACUCCUCCAAUUAGAAUUUUGAUUGGUGGUCUUAUUUGUGAGUAUUUAGGAGUUCUUGGUGCUGUUCAUAUGAUCUUGCAUGCAUGUUUAGGAAUUUAUUUAUGAAGUUUUGAUGUAAGCUUAUGCAUCGGGGAAGUGAGUAGAAUAGUUUGCUCCAACUCAUUUUUGCUUAAACCUUCGUUUUUGUCAUGCAUCAAAAAUUUCAGAAAUGAGUUUGUUUGGAAAAGCAUAAGGAUGGCUUGGGAAGAAGAGACCCGAGCCUACCGAUAGACUAACCAGAGCUGCAUCUUCACCUUCUACUGUGAGGACCAGUUAUAAUAAUGAUAUAGUGCCACCGAAGUUGCUCCACGAGACGGACACAACACAUGCCAUGGCAUACCCAUGUUCAGAUUUCCUUACGGUGGCAGGUAUUAAGGAUGAGUUUGAUAACCUCUGUGCAGCUGCAGGGUUGACACGUCUCGUAACACAACUUGUGCAACAAUAUCCAAAACUCACCUAUUAUUUUGUCAACUGGUUUAGAUAUAAUGAUCAAACUUCCAUGAGUGAAUUUUGAUUAUAUGAGGAUGUCGUUACCAUGUCUUUGGCAGAAUUUUGUGACAUUAUAGGUGUGCGGAAUGUCGGGAAGACGACCAAAAUGGAAGUUCAGCCCUAUGAGCUGAAAUGCCUAUUCGCUUCCCUUUCAGCAAGGAUCCGCGAGACAUUCACCGGGGGAAGAUCUCUAGCAUAUUAUUUCCCCACAUCAGGUAUUUCGCAUACUAUAUUUCUCAAGGGGUGUUAGCUCGUGACAACACGAGAAACAUUUCGGCUUUGGAUAUCGCUAUCUUGGUAGCCGCCCUCUUAGGAGAUAACACGUAUAAUAUUGGUGCUUUGAUUGCUUGUCGCCCCGUCCCUAACAGCGGCAAAGGGCCUCACUUUGGUGGCAUUUAUGCCACGCUUAUCCUCGAGCACCUCGGGUGCACUGUAUGCAUGGAUGAUACGCCUUUUUCAUUCAUAAGAUUUGAUCUUGCCGCUAUGAAGAGGCAUGAGUUUGUUACUAGGAAUUUUGAGUUUGGUAACCUUGUUUAUAUUAUGAGGUUUGGCGAGUUUACUACUCGCGAGAUCCGUCUACAUGCACCACUUUUGUUUGAUUAGACUAGAAGGAAUUGAUGGUCCUUCACCUCGGUUGAGCUGGACGAGUUCGUGAUCCAGCAAUAGUCCGACAACCCCAUGGAGGGGGUUGUUCCGAGGAAGAACAGGCUUCUUCUUGGGAGGACUGUCGAGCAUCAGUUUACACACCCGAGGCUUCGUAUGAUUCUUGGAGCUACCCGUACCACUCCGGAGCCGGAGGAAGCUCCUGGAGCCCGCAGUAGCCAAGCCCAACUUAGGCCAAAAGCUUAAACUUGGGGGAGUACGCACCCUUAUCCCCUUUCAUUGUAUCAUCCAUGGUUUCCUUUUUAAUCUUUUCAGAGUUUUUUCCUAUUCUUCUUUGUUCUUUCUUUGCAAAAACAACAAAAAGAUUCCUCUUUUCUUUUGCUUUUGUUUAACCUUUGGAAUACCCAAAAAGAUUUCUUUUCUCUCUUUGGUUUGCUUCCCUUUGCAGAGUUCAGCUCAAGUCCAUGGUUGCAAUUGCACUUAAUUAUAUGUUUCUAUGUUCGAUCGUGUAAGUGAUGAUGCAAUAAUGACGAAGAUAGACGGAAGGGAUGCAACAAGGAAAGCCGGUAUGAACUCUAUUUGUUUCUCCUUUUGUACAUAUGCCUAUACUUAUGAUCUAGAGACCAGCUUGUAGCGAUAUAGUGCUAUGUUUACAAUGCUUUCCCAGAAGUUAAUGCUUUCUUUGUGACUUGUUUCAAAUAGCUGGAGUGCAUAAUGUGUUAUUGAAAUGACUUGCAUGCAUUGCAUUGUUCAUGGUUUGGCAUAUUGGAGUGGUAUUUCCCUUUGGAGAGUUUUUGGAUUGACAUGGCACAUGCUUACACAUGUUUAUGACUAGAAGUCUAUCAAGCCAUGAUGAUCUUUUUAUUUAAGAAUAAUUAUAUCACUUUCAUGCACGAUUCAAUGUUGCUUUGUCGCUCUGCAUGAUUAUGUCCGUUAUUGCUCUCUAGUUGGUCUCUUCCCCGUCCUUUGCUAGCCUUCGCCUGUACUAAGCGGACUGACUACUUGUGCAUCCAAAAUCCUUGAAACCAGGUGCGCCAUAUGAGUCCACGAUUCCUACCUAUAUGCGGUAUUUAUGUGCCAUCCUAAGUAAAUUUGCAUGUGUCGUAUUCUAAAUCUUCAAAUAAAUAUUUUGUUUUGUAUGGCCGAAUCACUCAUGUAGCGACUAGGGGUCAUCAAUAUCUUCCAUGCUAAGUGGGUUAUUCUCAAGAUAUGUGUUGAUUCAUUAUCAUACACGAGAAAGUGGUUGGUAACCCGGAUGCCGAGUUCCAUGCUCAAAGUCAAAUCAAAGUUAAUGAAAAAAAAACUCCCCCCAGGAUUGUUGUUUGUAUGGACGGUACCCGCGGAUUCUGCCCGCCGUGGAAUGUGAUCGAUUGGUGGACGGGUAGUAAAAUAUUUACUAUUCUGUUUGGGAACCGCCUAUAAUGUAUUUAGCAUGGAAGAUAUUGAGAUCUCUUAGUUGUUAUGUUGACAAUGAAAGCAUGCCACCCAAAAUUUUGAUUCAUUUCUGUUUCAAAAGCUCAAGUUCUGGCAUCUCUACAAAACAAUGCUUCCCUCUGCGAAGGGCCUAUCUAUUUUACUUUACUGUUGAGUCAUCCUCUUCUUAUAAAAAAGGCACCAACUAUAGAGAGCAUAAUUGUCAUUCUGAGUGUAAUGUGCAUUUCCCCAAAGCACUACAUUGUCUUCUGCAUGAUUGUGAUAUUACUCAUUCUGAAAUAUUUAUUUCUAGUCUCCUUUAAGACUCCGAAGGAGCGUCUGCAUUGAUGUUUUGCUUCACUCUUGGGGGCUAGUGAGAUACCACUCUAGUAUGUCCGAGUCAUGUGUGUUGUGUUCUCGUCAUGAUUUUCGGUUGCAUAUUAUUCAUUCUUAGUUGUUUGAAACUGUUCACAUGAUCGGAGGAUUGCUUCGUGCAUUGUCUUUGUAGCAUUGCUUCAAUACUUGUUGGACUUGUUCGUAGUGCAUGCUUAUAUACUUCUGAUGAAGCAAAAGUGUUUGUCAAAGUUCUCUUUGUCGUGUCCAGUUUGUUGAACUGAAUUGCUUGAGGACAAGCAAUAUGCUAAACUUGGGGGAGUUGAUACGUCUCAAAUGUAUCGACUCUUCCAAACACUUUUGCUAUUGUUUUGGCCUCAUUCUCGCAUGAUUGGAAUGAAACUAACCCAGACUGACGCUAUUUUCAGCAGAGCUGCAUGUAUGGUUUUCUUGUGUGUAGGAAAAUGGAUAUUUAGGCGUCCCAGAAAAUUCCAAUAAAAAUAGAGAAAAUCCACGCACCGGGAGGAACCCUGGGCCAGAAUAUGGGCUAGAUGGGGGCCACCACGCCUCCAGGCGACCUGUGGGCGCGGCCUGCCCCCUAGCCGUGUUGGGAGGCCGCCUGGGUGGGGUCCAACUCCUCUGGUGCCCUACUUUGGCUCCUAUUUUUACCCGUGACGGAGAAAUCCCAGAAGAUAAGUCGUGUUGCAAGUUCUCGACACGGAGCCGCUACCACCCUCGGAUCUUCUCCGAGGAGCUAAUCUGGAGGCUGCCUUGGCCUCCGGAGAGGGGAAAUCAUCGCCAUCGUCAUCACCAUCACCACUCCAUCACCCUUCCACGGCUUCCCCUAUCAUGUGUGAUUAAUUCCCUGCUAUAGGUGAAAGGGAUGGUAGGGAUUGGAUGAGUUAGAUCAUGUAAUAGUUCGUCGGAUUGUUGGGGGCAUGUUGCCUAUCAUCUACUAUGGUACUUAUCAUCUUUGCUACUACUUGUUACUCUUAAUACUUGUCACUUUGGGCCCGAGUUCCAUGAUUUCAUAUAUGUAUACCUUAUGUUUUCAUGAAUAUAUUUGUGUUCUUGAUCUUAUCUAUGAGUAGUAUGCACCUAUUAUUGUCCGGAAUCGGCGAUCCCAAUGGUGACAACUUGGGACACCAAAGGGGAUAGACUAUUAUUUUAGGAUUCCAUGUAUCUAUUGAUUGUUAAUGCUUUGUUCCGGUGCUCUUUGACAGGAGCACCUUAAUCUCCAUAAGUUCCUUUUGGCCCCGUUGGUAGCGGGAUGAUAGGAUAAAAGAUGUUGUGCAAGUUCUUAUUGCAAGCACACACGACUACCUUGGGAUACAUGCCUAAUGUUUCAUAUUUGCCUAGAUGAUCAUUACUUUUCUAUGUGCCUUGCCCCAAGUUAAAUACAUGAUAUCUCUCAUCCAUGACCAACCAUCCAUCUCCCUAGCCUAUAGUGUUUUAAUCCUGCUAGUCUCCAGUUGCUCUACUUAAUAUGUUUUACUUUUCUUGCUUUGCCACCACUAUCUCUGUUGCCACUAUCACUUUCAUAUCACCGUUGCUACUAAUAUUUCAUUGCCAAGCAAGUAUCUUUCAGGUGCAGUUGAAUUGAAAACUCAACUGUUAAACCUUAUAUUUAUUUUUUGGCUCCCCUUGUGUCGAAUCAAUAAAUUGGGUUAACUUACCCGCGAAGACUAAUGCGAUCCCCUACACUUGUGGGUUAUCAGCGACCUACAUCAACAAUCUUGCCACCAUCAACGCCAACUCUCUGCCCCUCUAUGAAGCGGUGUAACACCUAUUUUCCCGCCGUAACUCUCUACUUAAACAUGGUGCUCAACACUACAUACUAUUUCCAAAUGAUAUGUGGUUAUCCUAUGAUGUUUGAGUAGAUCCAUUUUGUCCUACGGGUUAAGUGUGAUAUGAUGUUAUUGAUAUCAUUUGCGUGUUGAUAUCAUGCUCUCCUAAGGUAAUUUUUUUCCGUGAUGCGCACACAUGAAGGAUACAUGUUGGAGGGUAUCCAAUAUGUUCAUGAUUCGCUUAUAGUGGGUGGCGAGGGUGACAGAAACUUACACCCGAGCAAGGGAGUUGUGCGCAUAUGGGAGUAAGCACGACUUAAUGUUUAAGGCUAUGGGGUUUACCUUAAUGAUUUCUAGUAGUAGCGGAUGCUUGCUAGAGGUCCGGUCAUAAGUGCAUAUGAUCCAAGUAAGGAAAGUGUGUUAGCAUAUGCCUCUCCCUCAUUGAACAAAAUAAGUAUCUAUCAUGUUAUAUUCAAUUGCAUAUGGAAAAUCGUUCUCUUGUGUUACACAAAAAGCUUUCUACUAAAUAUCCUCUUACUUUUAUUUACUUUCUCUUUAUUUUUCCGCAAAAUAGUUUCAUACUUGUUCUAGGUAAAGUAAGCGUUUGUGCGUGUAGAGUUGUAUCGAUGGUUGAUAGAACUUGAGAGAAUAUUAAUUCUGCCUUUAGCUCCUCAUUGGGUUCGACACUCUCACUUAUCGAAAAAGGCUACAAACGAUCCCCUACACUUGUGGGUUAUCAACCUGGUCAAAAUCUCAGAUGUGGUAGGUGAUCAAUUGUUGUGUCAUCUUGCACAACAUGAUCAUUGAGAGCGAGUAGGAGGAGCGAGUGUUUGACACUGAACCAUAUUUUAGGAACGGUCCUCUUGCAGUUGUUGACCACCAAGUACCGGCAACAUGGGUUGCCUUCCUCAAUAUGCGCCAGGAGAUCCGAGACCCACAGGUGCAUCAAGAACUGCAGGACGAUCUCGUGGAGCACCUAUGGAGGCUCAGGGCAACACCUAGUUCGAUUUGUUUUAAUUUGUGUUUGAAUUAUGAGCUUUCUUCGUUGAACCAUUUGAUUUGUAUUGAUUUAUUUGAAGAACUUUGUUAUAAAAUUUAAUUUUAUGAAUUUGUGCCUAAAGUGAUCCAAAUUUGUACUUAAAUUGGGGUGAAAGUGUCGGCCGGGGGCACCCUUUGGGGGUCGCGUGGGAACCCGAGCCCCCCGCCACCUCUCGCCGAAUUUAGCACCACUUCGCCCCCAACCUGCGCUAUUUUAGGCCCUUGGGGGGACGAACGGCUGGAGAUGCUCUAAGAAUCUGGAGCACAACACAGAAGAGAACUUGUGGCAUGCACCGACGGGAUCAACCUAUUUUUUUAGCUUUUAUUUUUUCAGUUUUUCAUAUAUUUUGAACCAAAAGUUUAAACUAAGUCUUGUUUUAUAUUCGUAUUUCUUGUGACGAGGACUUCCAAAUAAGACCAAUUUUAAAUACAUUUUGACGAUCUUUUUUUAGUUUCAGCUGUUGACACUUGAUACAAAGAACGAUAAAAUUCGUUAGUUUUUGGAACUUAAACUUAAAACUUGAUGUGACCUCAUGUAAAAUUCAAUGACUUUAUGAGGCAAUCAAACGACCGAGCAAGAAUGCGCAGGUGCUAACCCCUAAGAAUUUUCGAGCACAACAUAGACAAAAGUAUUAAUGUUACUACGGUAUUAUGUUCGUGUGUGGCAUACCUUCUGUUUAAACUAGUUUAAGUAGAAUUUUAUUGCUUUUCUGAGGUGAACUUAACUGUAAUAUAGAAGGAACUAAUUGUUUAAAGAUGUGAUGACUUGUUAAGAAUAUUUUAGACUCCUUUAAAAAAGGCAUGCCAUAUUGUUUUUGGAGGAUUUAGGGAAGAUACUUGUUGGUCCAGCUUCACCAGCUCGGCGCAUGAAGUGGUGCCAAACGGCCUAGCUCCGUACAUCCAGCAUUGCGAGGACAAGCCCCCCCCCCCAGCAGUGUAAAACCGGGAAAAUAGUUAAGCCGAGCUCCGAGAAGCUGAAAUAGCAGAGGUCCCCAAAUUUACACCGAAAAUGUGAGUGAUAAGUGAAGCUUACCAAUUCUAAACAGGUGAUUUCUCUUCCCCGAGCUCUUCCCCUCCCUUACCGUUGGUUCAUACACCACGCUGGCCGAUCGUCCGCCGUGAGAGGUCCUCUGCAAUCCCCACUUUAUUGUUGGAAAUAUGCCCUAGAGGCAAUAAUAUUUUAUUACUAUAUUUCCAUAUUGAUGACUAAGAGUUUAUAUUCUAUAUUAUAACUGUUAUGGUUCUGGAAUAUGUGUUUUAGUGAAAAACUGAUAUGCACGUAUGGAAUGAUAAACGGUUAAAUAAUGGUUCCUAGUCUCUAAUAACCCACAAGUAUAGGGGAUCAAUUGUAGUCUUUCUCGAUAAGUAAGAGUGUCGAAACCAACGACGAGCUAAAGGUAGAACAAGUAUUCCCUCAAGUUCUAUCGACCACUAAUACAACUCUACGCACGCUUAAUGUCCUCUUUACCUAGAACAAGUAUGAAACUAGAAAUCCAUUGUAGGUGUGAUAGGAUAGGUUUCUAAGAUAAUAAAGAACACAUAAAUAAAAACUAGGGGCUGCUAAGAUAAAGAAACAACUAAGCUGGUCUUAGUAGAGAUCUUUUUGUAAUAAGAAGGUUUAUUUGUUCCUAGGCAAUCGUUAACUAGACCGAUAAUCAUUAUUGCAAUUUUAUAUGAUGGAGAGGCAUAAGCUAACAUACUUUCUCUACUUGGAUCGUAUGCACUUAUGAUUGGAACUCUAGCAAUCAUCCGUAACUAGUAAAGAUCAUUAAGGUAAAACCCAACCAUCGCAUUAUAAGGUAUCGAGUCCUCUUUAUUCCCAUACGUAAAUAACCUACUAAUUUAGGUCUCUGCUUCUAUCACUCAUGCCACCUACGAUAAGCGAAUCAUAAACAUAUUGCAAACCCUACAGCAGGGAUCCCUCACGCUUGCACGACACAGAGAGCACCAUAGGACAACACCAAUAAUAAAACAUGUAACUCAAACCAAUCAUGAUCAUCAAUCAACCCAUAAGACAAAAUGAAUCUACUCAAACAUCAUAGGAUAGCGAUACAUCAUUGGGAAAUAAUUUAUAGCAUUGAGCAUCAUGUUUAAGUAGAGAUUACAGCAGGGAGAAGGGGUGUUACACCAUUGCAUAGAAGGGGGAGAUAGUUGGUGAUGACGACGGAGAAGUUGUUGGUGUAGAUCCUCGUCACGAUGAUGGCCCCGACGGUGUUCCGGUGCCACUAGGAGAGAGGGGGAGAGAGACCCCCUACUUCUUAUUCUUCCUUGGCCCCCCUAGAUGGGAGGAGGGUUUCCCUUCUGGUCCUUGUCCUCCAUGGCAGCGGAGGGGCGAGAGCCCCUCCAAGAUUGGAUCUCUCUCUCUCGCUCUUUCUAUUUCUGCGUUGCCAGAUUUUGUCCUUCCACCGUUUCUUAUAUUCCCGGAGAUCCAUAACUCCGAUUGGGAUGAAAUUUUAACACGAUAUUUAUUUGGAAAUUAGCUUUCUUGCGAUGAUAGAAGGGCACAAACUGCCUUACGGGGUGGACACAAGCCUGCCCGACGCAACCUACCACCCAGGUCGUGCCCCUAUGGCUUGUGGCCCCCUUGGGCACCGCCUUUUGUUGAUUGCACUUCCCAAAAUUCACAAAUAUUCCAAAAAAUCUCCGUAAGUUUUUAUCUCGUUUGGACUUUGCUUGAUAUGGAGUUUCUACGAAACAAAAACAUGCAACAAACAGGAACUGUACUGGGCACUGGAUCAGUAUGUUAGUCCCAAAAAUAGUAUAAAAAGUUGCCAAAAGUAUAUGAAAGUUGUAGAAUAUUGGCCUGAAACAAUCAAAAAUUAUAGAUACGAUGGAGACGUAUCAAUCUCGCCUCUAAGACUAGCUCAAUGUUGUUGCUUUUAAAGGUGCUUAUGAAAUUGCUUCUUUUCUUGAAAAGUAUGAUGAUGUUCCUUACAAAUCUAAUUUUUUUCCAUACUUCAAUAUUGCUACAAUAAUUAUGAAUACAAUGCUGAUAUUAAUGAAUUUAUUGAAAAAAAGAUGGAUGCCUUGGAAGAGACUAAUAUUUUCUAGGAGUCUAUGGAAGAAGAAAUUGAUGAUACUGUGAGCUCAGUGGAUGAAAAAGAUGAUGAGGAGAUUCAAGAACAAAACGAGGAAGAGCGGAUUAGCUACCCGUGCCUACCUUAUAAUAAAAGUAACUUUUCAACUCAUACAUUGUUUAAUUUCCCUUUCACAUACCAAAGGAAGAAUGCUAUGAUGAUUGCUAUGAUCCCUUGGAUUCAUUUGAAAUAUCCCUUUUUAAUGAACUUGAUGCUUUCUAUGAUUGUGGCCAUGAUGCCAAUAUGAAUUAUGCUUAUGAAAUAGGGCCGGCUUUGAGGGGGGGCAGGGGGUGGCCGCCCCAGGCCCCCAAAAUUCAGGGCCCCCACCUGGGUAAGUAGGCAACCCAUACACACACCUAUGGCAGCCCAGCCAGCCCGUCGAAACUACACAUUGCCCAUGAGUUGGGCACGCAGCGGCUCAUUUAAUCGUUAGGCUGUCACGCAGUUCCAUGACUCCUCGUCCGCUAUCUCACAGUUAUAGCCUCGUACGCACAAAUCUCUGUUUUGGUUUCCUAAUUUACAUCUCAGAUCAAAGCACGAGUUCAUCUCUUUGUGACGCCAUCAUGCCCUAUUCAUGUCUGUUCGGCGGUUGUCAUUUCACAAGCGUCGCUCUCCGAUCUCCACUCCACGUGGCUGUCCAUACCUCCUCAUGGCCUCAUCGUCGAGCAAACACGCAUUGACACACACGCCACUCUACAUUGAGUCAUGGCUGAGCGCUUAGUCAGGAGAUCACCUACAAGUCCCUCAUAAAAAAAGGCGAUCACCAACAAGAAUAUGACCCAUCCGACGCACCUAUAUGUACAUGGCUAAGUAAGUAAUUGACCUUCGUAUGAUGCAUAUAUUUCGCCGUUUAACUUUUGAUGCCAUUUUUUCUGCAUUGUAUGUAUACAUUAUUUCAUUUGAAAAUAUUUUUUGGGUUGAUUUAAAUGUUUAUCAGUAACAUCUUAUAUAUUUGAAUUCUAUAUGUUUACAUAGAGUCAUUCAUAAUGGAUUGAUUGGAUAUUUUUACGGAUAAGUAUAUAUCAGAGAUGUGUUCUUUAUGAGUUGAACUUCAUAAUCACUAAGAUUUAAUUGAGUUUUUCUAGUACGUACCUUUGUAAGUCCACACUAGUUUUGAAUUAAUCAAUAUAUUUUUAAAAUUUAUCACAUUUAGGUCAUCCAAGUACGUAUUCAAAAAAAAUUAGUUUUUUUAUUAAGGUAGUAUUGGUAAGUUAUCUUAUAUGGAACUGUUUCAGAACAUUUUAAGUGUUUCUUGGUAACAUUAUAUAUAUAUAUACAUACAUCGAUUAUUAUUAUUGGUAUUUAUAUUAUAGGCCCCAGGUUAAAGUUUUCCCCGAGCCCCCGAGAUCUCAGGACCGGCCCUUCUAUGAAGAUGAAUCUGUUGUAGUUCCUUAUGUUAGGCAUGCAAUUUUUAAUAUUGCACCCACACAUGAUAGUCCUUUAUAUUUUUGAAUUCUACCAACUACACUAUAUAAGAGAAGUUUGCACUUAUUAAGGAUUAUAUUGAUGGGUUGCGUUUUACCACUUCACAUGAUGAUUUUGAUGGAUAUAAUAUUCAUGUGCUUGCUGCUCAUACUUGCAAUUGUUAUGAUAGAGGAACUACAUCUCCACCCCCUUAUGUUUCCAACAUGAGAAAAUUGCAAGAAACUGCUUAUGGUAUGUAUUGGCCUUUACCUGAUGUGCAUGAAUUGUUCUUUUAUGACAUGUCGAUGCAUAGGAAGAGAGUUAGACUUCAUCAUUGCAUGAUAUAUAUUGCUUUGUGCUCGCUACUAAAUUACAAAUCAUUGUUAAUUAAAAUUAGCUUUGAUAUACCUUGGGAUCCUGGUGGACCGAUUACUUGAGCAUUUUAUGCCUAGCUUAAUGGAUUUAAAGAAAGAGCUGCUAGGGAGACAACCCGAAGGUUUUAGAGAGCCAUUUAUUUAUGUUUUGUUCUUUUGAAAUAUUUAAAAACGAAACAAAAAAUAAAGUGGGGAACUUAAAACUUUUCAAAAAGAAAAGUGAAAGUGAGAAGGACGAGCAUCGUUGAUGUGGGUGCUAGACUUGAACUUUGUUCAUGCCCAUGGAUAUAUUAUGAAUCUUGAUUACAUAAAAUUUUCUACAAAAAUAAUUAUUUCCUUGUAAAAGUCCAUUGUAUUAUAAAAAUAAUGUGACAAGAUUUGCAUUUAGGAUGAUUAGAUUGCUUGUUGGUAUGUGCGGUGUAAAAACAGAAACUUUGGCUGUAGUGCAUGAAUUUACAUUUUUUACUCGACUGUCGAAAGUUCCUAAAAAAAUAAACAGUAAUGCUAUGGAAAUUUCCUAUUUCGUCCUAAGUUUUCAUAAGUUUUGAAGUUACUGAAGUAUAUGUCAAUGUUAAGAUUACUACAGCCUGUCCUAUUUUUGACAAAUUCUGUUUUUGAUGCAUUAUUUUGCUUGUUUUGAUGAGACUAUCGAUUGUAUCAAUGGUAGAAGCGAGGGGGAAGUUAUAUUAUAGUAGCUAUAAUAGAAAAACAAAAUAUUAAUGGGUUUUAAACACUACUUAAGGUAGUAAUUUGCAUUAUUAUACUAAUGGAUCUCAUUAGUUUUCUGUUAAGUUUUGUGUGGAUCAAGUGUUCGAAGUUCGAGGAGGUCUCUAUAUGAGGAGAUGGAGGAGAGGCAAGAGUUCAAGAUUGGUAAUUCCCAAGUCACCCCAAGUAAAUAUCCAAGGAGACUCAAGCGUCUAAGGUUGGGUAUUCCCCGGAAGGCAUCCCAUCGUACUGCAACAAUAUCGGUAUGUUUUCGGCUUUGUUUUGUUCAUGCGAUAUGCGUAAAUGUUGGAGCAACUUUUGUGUUUAGUUUUCACUUGUAUUUUAUGCACCAUGCUGGUAUGAGAUAGUCCAUUGUUGAUUUAUAGUAUGCUCAUUGCACUUCACUUAUAUAUUUUGAGUAUGGUCUUAUAGAAUGCUUCAUGUGCUUCACUUAUCUCAUUUGAUGUUUGGAUUGCGUGUUUCUCUAUAUAUAGAAAACCGUUAUUUGUAGAAUGCUCUUCUGCUUCACUUAUAUUUAUUAGAGCGUGGUCUUUUGUAGAAAUAACUAAACUCUCAUGCUUCACUUAUAUCUAUUUAGAGAGUCAAAAGGAAUUGGUCAUUUACUUGGUUAGGCAUUAAUCCUACAUAAAACUUGUAGAGCACUGAGUAUGAUGUUUUUGAUUCCUGGUAAUAGUUUUGCGACAUUAUGAUAGAAAUAUGUGGGUGCACUAGUUGAUGAUGAUGGAUUAGUACGAAUAUUGAUGUUAAGGUUUGUGAUUCCUGAAGCAUGCACAUAUAAUCUCUGGUUACGCGAUGGAGUUGGAGCAUAAUUUAUCCUUGAUUGAAAUGCUUUGUGCUGUUAUAAUCGGAGUCACGCGAUGGUUAACUCCUCCCAACCUUCCCCCUAGGGGCAUGCGAGUAGUGCUUUGCUUCGAGUGAGCUAAUAAAAUAUUGCAAUAAGUAUGUGAGUUCUUUGUUACUAAUGUAAAUCCAUGGAUAUACACACUCUUACCUUUCCGCAAUUUGCUAGCCUCUACCGUACCAUGCAUUGCCCUUUCUCACCUCGAGAGUCGGUGCAAACUUCGCAGGUGCAUCCAAACCCCGUGAUAUGAUACGCUCUAUCACACAUAAGCCUUAUUAUAUCUUCCUCAAAACAGCCACCAUACCUACCUAUUAUGGCAUUUCCAUAGCCAUUCCUAGAUAUAUUGCCAUGCAACCUCUGCCGUCACUUCAUAUGACUUGUACUUCCACUAUCACAUUGCUUUGCAUGAUCAUAAGAUAGCUAGCAUGAUAUUUACAUGGCUUGUUCAUUUUUUAUAAUAUUUUGCUACGCUAGAUCACUGCACAUCUUGGUACACUGCUAGAGGCAUUCAUAUAGAGUCAUACUUUGUUUUAGGUAUCGAGUUGUAAGUAAAUAAAAGCGUGAUUAUCAUCAUUAUUAGAGAAUUUUCCCAGUGAGGAAAGGAUGAUGGAGACUAUGAUUUCCCCACAAGUCGGGAUGAGACUCCGAACGAAAAAUGAAAAAUGGGGGAGGCCAAAUGAUCCCACCACAAAAAAAGAGAAAGAAAAAAUGAGAGAAAAAAGAGAAGGAGCAUGCAAAUUCCACACUUGUGCUUCAAAGUAGCACCAUGUUUUUCAUAUGGAGAGUCUCCUAUGUUGUCACUUUCAUAAACUAUUGGGAAUUUUUAAUUAGAGUUUGAAGCACACCCACUUAGUUUUCACGUUGAGAUUCCAUACACUUAUAGCUCUUAGUGCAUCCGUUGCAUGCCAAUCCCUACUCCUCGCAUUGAUAUCUAUUGAUGGACAUCUUCAUAGCCCGUUGAUAUGCUGAGUUGAUGCGAGACUUUCUUCUUCACUUUUACCCCCUUUGAAACCUACCACGAAAUUCUAUUCCACCUUUAUGAUAUAUCCAUGGUUCACGCUCAUGUAUCGAGUGAGUAAUAAAAAGCUGAAGCGCGUUAAAAACAACGAUCCAAUUGCUUGAUUUGACACUAGGGUGAUCAUGAUUUAUACCUUAUGCUAGGAAGACCAAGCAUGAUAGGCUAUAUGAUUUUGUACGGAUAGCUUUAUUUAGCAUUGUUAUUUUGAAAGGACAUGACUGUUUGCUAGUAAACCUGGGUAUGGAUGCCUUUUUUUGUCAAAUGAUAGACUAUUGCCUUGAAUCACUUGUAUCUUAAUAUUCAUGCCAUGAUUAGAUAUAUGAUCAAGAUCAUGCUAGGUAGCAUUCCACAUUAAAAAUUAUCUUUUUUUAUCAUUUAUCUACUCCAGGACGAGCAGGAAUUAAGCUUGGGGAUGGUGAUACAUCUCCGUCGUAUCUAUAAUUUUUGGUUGUUCCAUGUCAAUAUUAUACAACUUUCACAUAUUUUUGGCAACAAUUUAUAUGAUUUAUUGGACUAACAUAUUGAUCCAGUGCCAAGUGCGAGUUCCUGUUUGUCACAUGUUUUUUGUGUUUAUCGAAAUAUCCAUAUCAAAUGAAGUCCAUACGCGAUAAAAAUUUACAAAUAAUUAUUUUGGAAUAUAUGUGAUUUUUGGGAGGUGGAACCAAGGAAAACGGAGGCCCAUGACCUCCACUUGACACCAGGGUGCGCCUGGGACCCCUGGCGCGGGGUGGUGUCGAGUGGGCACCCCUUAAGUCAGUUGUGGCUCUCCUUGGAGAACAAGAAACCUAAUUUAUGGAUAAAUAUCCCCUGAAAAUUUUAGCCCGGUCGGAGUUACGGAUCUCCAGGAAUUUAAUAAACAGUGAAGGGCGAGAAAACAAGAAUGUGAAACAAAAGAGAACAGAGUGGGAGAUCCAAUCUUGGAAGGGCUCCUGCCCCUCCGCCGCCAUUGAGGCGAUGGGCGAUAGGAGGAACUCUUCUCCCAUCUAGGGGGAGUCCAAGGAAGAAGAAGAAGGAGCGGGCUCUGCCCCCUCUCUCAUGGUGGCGCCGGAGUGCCGCCGGGGCAAGGAGCAUGAUGGUAAUCUACAACAACAAUCUUGCCACCUUCAAUUCCAAUCUCUCCCCCUCUAUGCAGCGGUAUAACACAUAUUUUCACAAUGUAACUCUGUACUUAAACAUGAUGCCCAAUGCUACAUACUAUUUCGCAAUGAUAUAUGGUUAUCCUAUGAUGUUUGAGUAUAUCCGUUUUGUCCUACGGGUUAAUUGUGAGAUGGUGUUUUUGAUAUGGGUUGUGUAUUGAUAAGGUGCUUUUAGUGAUGCACACACAUGAAGGAUACACGCUGAAGGGUUUGCAAUAUAUUCAUGAUUCACUUAUAGUGGUUGGCGAGAGUGAAAGAAACUUACAUCCGAGUAAGGGAGUUGUGCCUGUAUGGGAGUAAAGAGGACUGUAUGUUUAACGCUAUGGUUGGGCUUACCUUAAUGAUUUCCAGUAGUUGGGUGUAACAUCCCAAAUUUUGGAAUGUUAAUAUAAUUAUUAGAUUGAUUGUUUGUUUGUUUGAGUGAUUGAAACUUGAGUGAAGUUUGAAAUUUUUCAAAACUUUUGAAUGAGAGGGAAUAAAAUGAUUUUCCCCUUUUUCCUGUAAAUUCAAAUUCAUCCAUUUAAAAUCAAUGAUGAGAACAUAGCAUGACUUCUUCAACUAUAAAGAAUUUGAAUCAAGGUGGCAUUGAAAUUCCUGUCGAUUUUUCUUUGCAUUUUGUUUGUUCCUUAGUCACGGAAUGUCGGGAACCAUAUCUUGUCAAGCAAGAAAAAGAGAGGAGAAAACAUGACCCUCCAAACCCGGGGAUAUUCUUUGAAAUAUUUGAGCCAUGACACCCAAGAUUUAUUUGAGUAAUUAUUUGCAAAAAGAAAUAAAGCAUUUAGGGGAUUUACUGAAAAACAUUUUUUUAAAAGUUUUUAUUUCGGCCGUGGAAAAAUGUCCAUCAUUUAUAUUUUAUUUUUCUGAUAAUUUUAGUAUAUAGAAAUUCUAUAUUCCGAAUUUAUUUGGUUUCCUUUUUUAUCAUUUACUUUCCGGUUUUUGCAAAUAGGAAAGAGAUAUUUUUUAAUUGGAAAUAGAUCGGUGGCCCAUUAACACUCUCCAAAUCUGGCCCGACAGGAUCAUCUUCCUCCUCACGUUCUCCUACCUCACGUCGCAGGAAACUUCCAUAGCCAUGGUGAGAGGAAUCUCCACCUUCCCGAUCUCCUUGCUCCUUCCUUCUGCGAGCACCCCGAGCCCCUAUAAAUACUCCCCUCAACCUCCUCUCCCCAUUUUCCCCGUAGCCCAGCCCCUCUCCUCGUUGGAACGCAGCCCCCACCUCGCCGAAGUUCGCCUCCAACAGGAACUCGCCGGAGCUCUUGCUGCUCCCUCCCGUCGCCCCCACGCCCCGCCGGCACCACUGAUGGGGUCAUAGUCCUAGGGUAGGGUCAUAGGCCUGCCCUACACGUCCCUAUCCAAGGACUACCCCACACAAAGGACAGGGCCCUAGGUCUGUUCUGACUGAAUUAAGGAGUCCCGAUCAUCCAGUCGGCAACAGGCCAUGAACCAUCCAGUCGGAGACUAGCAUUCGGAGGGCAUCAAGCUAACCGACUGGAUACACUCGGUACGUCGUAACCUCUCUGGAGGGAAACUGCCGUACGUUUCCGGGUGCAUUUAUUAGCAUUUAGAGCAUACGUUACCUGUAACGUACGCAUUCAAUCGCCACUACUCCACCCUUGAAUCAGAACCAUUGUGGAGGGCCGCGCACUCUAUAUAAGCCGCCCUCCCCCACUGGUAAAAGGGUUAGCAAAUCAUUGUACUCCAUAUUACACUCGGUAACAAGCUCCGAGAGCACUGAGACGUAGGGCUGUUACCUCCACUGUAGAGGGGCCUGAACUCAUACAACCUCGCCGUAGCUAGGACUCUGCCCAUCUCAUUCGUACCCUACACAUCUACUGUCAGGCUUAUACCCACGACAGUUGGCGCCCACCGUGGGGCAGGCGUCUAAGCGACUUCGGGCGAGUUUGCGACUACCUCUUUUCGUCAUGCCGACUGGUGAAGAUUCGAGCAUGGGUCACCAGAUCCUCUUCGGUGCUCUCUCCUUCAUCUUCGACGAUUCGGCGUGGCUUCGGGAGGCUCCUCUCGACGUCGAGGCGCUUCCCCGUCGCGGGGCCACGCACUUCCGUGCCGGCGCUCGCGGCGUUCUUCUUCUUCAACAAUCGACUCCAUUGUCGGUUUGCACCUCCGUCGUGCGCCGCACCAAGCGGUCCCGCAGUCCGCGUCUCCAACGUUGGGUGCAGCAUGCCCGAGCGCGUCAGGUCGCGUCCUCUCAAGUGGCGGUUUUGGAGUCAGUUGUGGUAGCCCCACGCUCCCAGUGCUCGGGCUCGGUUCCGACUGAGCUCCCUUCCGAGUACGCGGGUCGCGGGCCUGCAGCAGAAGUACAUAUGGCCAACACCCAUGAAGAUUCCCGUCAAACCGACCGGGGUGAGCGCGAAGUUGGUGAAGCAUCCGGUGCACGCCGUCCUCGUCGUCGUUCUGCCAGUCGGCACACUCGACGAAGCAACAUAGAGUUGUUCCGCACACCUCUCCUCAACUUGGCUGCGGCUGCCCAGAUCGCCGAUUCCCUCCAGCCGACUGAUUCAGAGGCAGGGAGGGGAAUCGAGCAGAUCCGAGCUCUAUUGCGCACGACACAGCAGCAGAAUUCGGCAGUCUCCCAGUCACACAAUCGGAUCUACAAUAGUUCCGUCCAUGCAAACACGCAUCGAUCGGUUCACAGCCCUGGUUCCCAUCAACACCACAGGGGAGGCAGCCGUUCCGUGAUCCGUGAAGAUUGCCGCCGCUCACGCACCCCUCCGCAAAGGGACGCUUGGAAAGAAGGGAACGCACGGCUCUUAUCUGGUUCGAAUCCAGUUCGGGGUGGGCCUUACGGGUCCCGACAUCAUGAUGAUCGGCGUUCAGUCAGCGACACUUACGACCCAAGACACGACGCAAGAGGGCGAAUCGCCCAACGAAGAGUCGACAGGGGUCGAGCCCACCGUGAUGGGCACAAUAUGGACCGUCCAAGUGGCAGUAGGUCCAUCGUGUCCGGACCCGAGUGUUUUAUUCGAGCCAUCCGCUCGGCUGACAUCCCGCCCAACUUCCGAUUGGCAGCGGGAAUCAGUAAAUUUACGGGAGAAUCCAAGCCUGAAACAUGGCUAGACGACUACUGAGUGGCAGUCCAGAUCGGAGGAGGGGACGACCAUGUCGCCAUGAAGCACCUCCCUCUGAUGCUCGACGGCUCGGCUCGAGCUUGGCUUAACCAAUUGGCCCCCUCAAGCAUUUACAGUUGGGCAGAUCUGGCCCGAGUGUUCAUCAGGACCUUCGAAGGGACGUGCAAACGCCCUGCAGGCCUUGUGGAGCUUCAGCACUGCGUUCAGAAGCCGAAUGAACCCUUGCACGACUUCAUCCAGCGAUGGACAACUCUCUACCACACGGUGGAGAACGUCACCGAGCAUCAAGCAGUCUGCGCCUUCAAGGCAGGCGUGCGGUACAGAGAGCUAUACUUGGAGUUCGAUCAAACGGGCGACAUCUCCAUGAGUAAGAUGAUGGAGAUAGCGGCUCGCUACGCAAAUGGCGAAGAAGAGGACCGCAUCCGGAGCGGCAAACACAAGACAGUCGGCGAUGUCGACGGAGGUUAACACUCGGAAGCAGAAACAAAAAGUUCCUCCCACACCGCAAGCAGAAGCUGCAGCUGUAACCAGCGCCAAGUUCAAGGGCAAAGGGAAAGCGCAGUUUACCCCCAAGAAGAAGCCUUUCAACAAUCCCAUCCUGGACCAGCCUUGUCCAGUUCACACGAAGAUGGACGAGGAAGGCAACCCCAUAUACGCGAAGCACACCACUCGGCAGUGCCGUCUCCUGAUCCAGGGGUUUAGCGAAGGGCAACCGAGUGAAAAGAAUCCUGAACAAGAUGAGGAAGAUAAGGAGGAUCCGUUCCCCUAAGUCCAUGCAACCCUCAUGAUUUUUGCUGACGUCGAAACCAAGAGUCGUCUGAAACUGGUGAACAGAGAAGUCAACAUGGCCGUUCCGACUGCCCCCAAGUUUCUUAAAUGGUCUCAGACUGCGAUCACCUUUGACCAAUCGGAUCAUCCAGUGCAUGUCCCCACCCCAGGAAGACAGGCUCUGGUCGUCGACCCGGUGGUGGAAGGAGUCCGACUGCGCAAACUCCUCAUGGACGGCGGUAGCGAACUGAACAUCAUGUACGCUGACACUCUCAAGGGAAUGAGCAUUCCGAUGUCCAGACUCAGCGAGAGCAGUAUGCAAUUCCACGGAUUCGUCCCUGGACGGAAGGCCAAGUCACUCGGCCAAAUCGCGUUGGACGUCAUCUUCGGCUCCAACAAAAACUUUCGAAAGGAAAAGCUUACAUUUGAGGUGGUGGAUUUUCAGAGCGCUUACCACGCAAUUUUGGGCCGCCCGGCGUACAUGAGCUUCAUGGCACGUCCAUGCUAUGUAUACUUGAAGUUGAAGAUGCCGGGCCCAAAAGGCGUUAUCACCAUCACGGGCAACCGCCAGCGAGCCGAGCAAUGUCUGCAGGAGGGAUCAAGAAUCGCCGACAAGCAGAUGGCUGUACUCGAGCUCGACGAAUACAAGAAGACAGUCGACCCUGCCGACCUGAUGCGCUCGAAGAAACCAGCUUCUGAGUCCGCGUUUCAGUCGGCGGGGGAGACGAAGAAGAUCAACAUCCACCCGACGGACGACUCUGCUGCCCCGACGAACAUCUCCACCACCCUCGAUCCUAAAUAGGAAGCCAAGCUCACCCAAUUCCUCCGUGAGAACUGGGACAUCUUCGCAUGGAAACCGUCUGACAUGCCGGGUGUACCUAGGGAGUUGGCUGAGCACCGACUGCAUGUGGAUCCCGCCGCUCGGCCUGUCCGAGAGCGCCUGCGCCGGUCCACCGCGCACAAGAGGAAAGCAAUCGGAGAAGAGGUGGCCAAGCUGUUGGCCGCCAACUUCAUUCGCGAGGUUCACCACUCCGAGUGGCUCGCCAAUGUCGUCAUGGUGCCCAAGAAGGACAAGUCACUCCGAAUGUGCAUUGACUUCAAGCAUCUCAAUAAGGUCUGCCCGAAAGACCAUUUUCCGCUCCCCCGCAUAGAUCAAAUUGUCGAUUCGACUACGGGUUGCGAGCGGUUGUCAUUUCUUGAUGCCUAUUCGGGCUAUCAUCAGAUCCGUCUGUAUGGCCCCGAUGAGUUAAAAAUAGCCUUCAUCACCCCGUUUGGGUGCUUCUGCUACAUCACUAUGCCUUUCGGUCUGAAGAAUGCAGGAGCUACCUUUAUGCGCAUGAUCCAAAAAUGUCUCCUUGACCAGAUCGGUCGCAAUGUGGAGGCAUACAUGGAUGAUAUCGUAGUCAAGUCGCGCAAAGGUUCCGACCUGCUGACUGACUUGGCAGAAACAUUCGCCAACCUUCGUAGGUACGAUAUCAAGCUCAACCCAGCCAAGUGUUCAUUCGGUGUUCCCAGCGGAAAGUUACUCGGUUUCUUCGUUUCCGAACGAGGGAUCGAUGUUAACCCCGAAAAGAUCGGGACCAUCGUCCGAAUGGAGAGGCCGGUUAGAAUACAUGAUGUUCAACGGCUCACAGGUUGCCUAGCGGCUUUGAGCAGGUUCAUCAGUCGACUCGGCGAAAAAGCACUUCCUCUGUACCGACUCAUGAAGAAGUCAGAUACCUUCGAGUGGACAGACGAAGCCCAAGUCGCAUUCGACAACCUCAAAGUCCUACUUUCCAUCCAGCCGGUUCUUACUGCUCCGCUCAGUAAGGAGCCCCUUCUUCUGUAUAUCGCGGUUACAAACCAAGUCGUCAGUACUGUUCUUACAGUCGAGCGAGAAGAAGAAGGCAAAGCAUACAAAGUCCAGCGGCUAGUGUACUACGUCUCCGAAGUCCUGACCCCUUCCAAGCAGAGGUAUCCCCAUUAUCAGAAACUUAUUUAUGGGAUCUAUAUGACUGCGAAGAAGGUGGCCCAUUAUUUCCAAGACCACUCGGUAUCUGUCGUUUUUGAUGCUCCGUUGUCGGAAAUUCUCCACAAUUGAGACGCGUCAGGCCGAGUGGCGAAGUGGGCAAUGGAGAUGUUGUACUGUGACAUCAAGUUCGAGGCCAAGAAAGCUAUUAAGUCUCAAGCCCUGGCUGACUUUAUAGCAGAGUGGGUAGAACAACAGCAACCGACCCACAUCUACUCGGCUCAUUGGACAAUGUUCUUCGAUGGGUCUAAGAUGUUGAAUGGAUCCGGCGCUGGCGUUGUGAUCAUAUCACCAAAGGGUGACAAGCUCAAGUACGUGCUUCAGAUACACUUUGAUUCCUCCAACAAUGAGGCGGAGUAUGAAGCCCUCCUCUACGGAUUGCGCAUGGCCAUCUCACUCGGCAUCCGUCGCCUGAUGGUCUACGGCGAUUCGGAUUUGGUGGUCAAUCAAUUGAUGAAAGAGUGGGACGUAAGGAACCCCACCAUGAGAACAUACUGCAAUGCAGUGAGGAAGCUGGAGAAGAAGUUUGAAGGUUUAGAGCUCCAUCAUGUUCCGAGACUGAAGAACCAAGCAGCUGACGAGUUGGCAAAACUCGGAUCCACUCGGAGACCAGUCCCGAGUGAUGUCUGCCUCGAACACCUUCAUCUUCCCUUAGUCAAAGAAGAUACCUUCACAGAAGAACCGGUACAACCCAAGAGUGCAACAGAUCCGACUGAAGUCGAUGUACCUACUGUGGUUGAUCUGAUCACAGAGAUUCUGGCCGUCAUUCCCGACUGGACUGUGCCGAUCAUCGCAUAUAUCCUGAGGCAAGCACUUCCAGAAGACGAGGUCCAAGCCAGAAAAAUAGUUCGCAGGUCGAAGGCAUUCACUGUCAUUGAUGGUCAAUUGUACAAGGAGAUUGUUUCAGGCGUUCUUCAGUGUUGCAUUUCCCCAGAGGAAGGGCAGUUGAUCCUAGAGGAUAUUCACUCGGGAACCUGCGGCCAUCACGCUUCUUCAAGAGGAAUUGUCGCCAAGGCAUUCAGAGCCGGUUUCUUUUGGCUGCAGGCAAACGAGAUGGCUAAAGAUAUGGUUGACCGAUGUGAAGACUAUCAGUUCUACUCCAACAAGUCCCACAAGCCAGCAUCUGCAUUAAAGACGAUCCCGCUUGUGUGGCCAUUUGCAGUUUGGGGAUUAGAUACAGUCGGACCAUUCAAGACAGGCCAAGGAGGCUACACACAUCUGUUGGUGGCAGUCGACAAGUUUACGAAAUGGAUAGAAGCCAAGCCCAUCAAGAAACUCGAUGCCUCAACAGCUGUCAAGUUUGUCAGGGACAUCAUUUCCAGAUUCGGGGUACCUCACAGCAUAAUCACCGACAACGGGACGAACUUCGACUCGGACAGAUUCAAGGGCUUUUAUGCGAGUCAGGGCAUCAGAGUGGAUUUUGCUUCCGUAGCACAUCCUCAAUCUAACGGGCAAGCUGAGUGGGCGAAUGGGCUUAUUCUUCAAGGUUUGAAGCCCCGACUCCUGCGAGAGGUAGGACACGCUGCCGGUGCAUGGGUCACCGAGUUACCUUCAGUGCUUUGGGGCCUCCGCACCACUCCGAACAGGUCAACGGGGCGAUCAUCGUUCUUCCUCGUUUAUGGAGCAGAAGCGCUCCUUCCGAGUGACCUGCUUCACAAUGCCCCACGAGUCGAACUCUUCUCCGAAGCCGAAGCAGAACAAGCAAGGCAAGAUGGGGUCGAUCUUCUAGAGGAGGAACGCGAGAUGGCACUUACUCGCUCAACAAUUUACCAGCAAGAUCUGCGACGCUUUCAUGCGCGUCACGUCAGGAGCCGCACAUUCCAAGCAGGCGACUUAGUGCUCCGAGUGGACCAACAAAGACCCCACAAGUUGGCUCCGGCCUGGGAAGGCCCUUUCAUCAUCUCCAAGGUGCUGAACAACGGAGCAUACAGACUCUACAACAUUCAGAGCGAGACAGAUGAGCCACGCGCAUGGAACGGAGAUCUCCUCAAGCACUUUUAUACGUGAUCGUCGACUGAAGCAGUGUAAAGAACAAGUUGUGACAAAAUAAUAUAUACAGCAGGUUCAGUUUUUUGCAGAUACAGAGUCCUCCACGGUCGCAGACUCCGGUCACACACAAAAAAAACUUAGCUGCGAUCCCGAAUCGCCUAAGUACUAACUUCCUCCGAGUGUGCACUACACGUCGCACUCGGGGACUUAGCUGUGAUCAAGAAUCACCUAAGUAAUAUAUUCCUACGAGUGUGCACUACACGUCGCACUCGGGGACUUAGCUGUGAUCAAGAAUCACCUAAGUAAUAUCUUCCUACGAGUGUGCACUACACGUCGCACUCGGGGACUUAGCUGUGAUCAAGAAUCACCUAAGUACUAACUUCCUACGAGUGUGCACUACACGUCACACUCAGGGACUUAGCUGUGAUCAAGAAUCACCUAAGUACUAACUUCCUACGAGUGUGCACUACACGUCGCACUCGGGGACUUAGCUGUGAUCAAGAAUCACCUAAGUAAUAUCUUCCUACGAGUGUGCACUACACGUCGCACUCGGGGACUUAGCGGUGAUCAAGAAUCACCUAAGUAAUAUCUUCCUACGAGUGUGCACUACACGUCGAACUCGGGGACUUAGCUGUGAUCAAGAAUCACCUAAGUAAUAUCUUCCUAUGAGUGUGCACUACACGUCGCACUCGGGGACUUAGCUGUGAUCAAGAAUCACCUAAGUAAUAUCUUCCUACGAGUGUGCACACCACGUCGCACUCGGGGACUUAGCUGUGAUCAAGAAUCACCUAAGUAAUAUUUUCCUACGAGUGUGCACUACACGUCGCACUCGGGGACUUAGCUGCGAUCAAGAAUCACCUAAGUACUAACUUCCUACGAGUGUGCACUACACGUCGCACUCGGAGACUUAACUGUGAUCAAGAAUCACCUAAGUAAUAUCUUCCUACGAGUGUGCACUACACGUCGCACUCGGAGACUUAGUUGUGAUCAAGAAUCACUUAAGUAUUAAUCUUCUCCGAGUAUGCACUAAACGUCGCACUCGCAACAGCAUUCAAACAAAAGACUAAAUGCUUUCAUUCAGAUUCCACAAGUCUAGAAAGGAUAGAUAACUCGGUGCGGAUCAAGCUUACCCACACCGAUUUAAAAGUAUCGCAGCCAACAGAAGUGGCAAGAGUACCUUACACAUAGCCACUCAGCAUACCGAGGAUAAAGUUUUAUUCCGCGUCAGCUGGGCCGGCGCCAGGACUGGAGGGCUCCACGAAAGUGUCCAAGUCGAUUCCAUCGGCGAUGCGGGUAGCAGUCUCAAGGAACGUCUCCAUGAAGUCUUUGAAUCGAAGCUUCUUCGUGUUGGCGACCUUCAAUGUCUUCAGCUUAUCUUCCCGCACCUCCUUGCAAUGGACUCGGACCAAGGACAGCGCAACAUCAGCACCGCAACGCGUUGCCGAUUUCUUCCACGAUUGCACUCGGCUCGGAAUCUCCUCCAGUCGUGCCAUCAAGGAUUCCAUCUCCUGCCACGACUCGUCUUCCGGCCAAAGUUCCUUGUUAAUUCGGCCGACGACUUCUCUCAGUCGACCGAUGAAAGGACUAACUUUGCCUACGCGGAUAUGCGCCCGGAGCAGAUCCCGGUUGGCCUCCUCGCCGAGUGGCACGUUCUCUUUAAUGGACCGCUCCACAGCCGCCGCUUCAGCUUCACCAUCCAUACAAAAGUCUACAACAAACGGACAAGCAUACAAUCAAUACCGAGUGUAAAGCGCACGGUACAAACACUCGGCAAAGCAUAAUACUUACCAGCCAGACGAGUCAUCAUCUGCCCAGCCCAGUCCUUCACAUACUUCUCUUGAGCUAUACAUCGUCUGUUCAAGAUGGCCAUCUGAUUGUUUAGAGCAGACCUCUGCUUUUUCAUUAUUUCCACCUCCGCCGUCAACACCUUAUUUGCCUCCAGAGCCUCCUCCAAGGACUUCUCUCGUACUUCCAGAGCAUCCUUCAUACCGGCCAUGGCGAGCAUAGCAGCAUCAAGCUCACCAGCGAACUGGUUCCUCUCCGCCCUCAGGGCCUCAUAGGCCGUCCCCAUUUCACAAUUUUUCUGCCACCAAGAAACAAAGGACAAUAAGCAAGUUUAUUAGUUCACAGUCUAUGUUCUUCAGACCCCUGCUGACGCAAGCAGUCGACAGCGGUCUCGGGGACUACACCCAGUGGGUUCACUAAGAGUGACCCCACUGACUUGCACCUCAAGCAGGCCUGCCCUAUUGAGAUGCAUGUUUUCACCUACGCCUCAAAGGCCAAUACUACCCGACUUGAGUGCAACUUACUCUCGGAGACUCUUACGGCAAGUGCACUCCGACUGCAACAAGUACUCGCACUCGGCAAUAUUAUCUACGGACACAAUCGAACUAAAGGCAAAAUGUAUAAAGACAACUGUCGGUGCAAGCACUCGACAGAAGUCUCGGGGACUACACCCACUGGGUUCACUCGGAGUGAACCCAUUGCAAACAACAACAACACCUAGUGGGUUACACAAGAAAAGUAAGUACUUACUAGACUACUUACUCGGAUGUCAUCGCGUAGCUCCAUGCUCCGCUGGGACAAGGCCGCAACGGAGUCAUAAGCCCUCUUGGCUUCUCCAACCAUCAGCUCCGCCUGAACCAUGGCCCCUUUGGCCGCUCCCACCUGCUCCUCCGGAAGACGCCGGAUGCUGAAUUCAGCAUUCGACGAACCAGGAAUCGUCGGAGGUUCCUGAGGCAUCCCAAGGUCUGCCCCAGUCGGUUCCUCCCCCACCAGCACCGGUUCAGUCAGUGGCGGCGCUUCAGUCGACGGGGCGUCGGCGGCAGGAGUGGCAGCAGGAGGAGCAUCCUCAAGGACAGGCUCCACGGCGGGGUUGGCUCUCCCCUGGUCGUCCUCGUCCAGGCAAAUCGCCCCUGACAAGCCGAGUGACAUGACGUCUCAGAAAAAGAAAGAAUGGCAUAGUCCGUGGAGAUAAAACACCCGACUCUCCUACAACACACCUAGCUGGGACGAGACAACGUUAUCCAUGUCCAUGGGGUCGUCCCCUUGGCGGGCCGGAGAGGUUGCAGAGGUGGCGACCCUGUCGAGUGAAAUCCAUUCGACUUGUAAACAGGGGUUCACUCGGAUAACAGAAAGAGCCGAAAGUUAAAUUCACUUACGUGGAGCUGACAGGGAUGGAAACCCUCAUUCGUGGCAGAGCCUUCCGAGGCUUCGGUCCACUCGGCUUGGGCGCCAUGGAAGACUGGCCGGCGGGCUCAGCAGCGGCGUCCCUGGCCCUCUUGGUGCCUCGAGUACUCGGAACCACCGGAGCAGCAGGCGGAGCACUCGACGACGCAGGAGGAGCAGAAGGGACGACGGGCUCGUGUCGGCACUUGGUCCGAUGCUCUGGUCGUGGAGGUGGUGAGCCUUGCUCUUCAUCCUCUUCGCCUCCUCUUCCUCCUCCAGAUCCCCAUUCGAGACGGGGGAGAACCAGUUGGUCCACGCCUGCAUGAAGUUCAGUCGGAAACGUUAAGCAUCACACGGAGAUAUAAGUAAACAACCAGAACCAAGACAAUUCAACGCACUCGGCUAAUGCCACUCACCUGAUUCGGUGGAGGGUGGUCCGCGCUGUAAGGCUUCACUCGGCGAGCUCCUUUGGGGUUCUCGCAGGGACCCGUGAUUUGGAGCACCCACGAGGUCACCCUCUCCUCGGGUACGCCCACCAUGUUGGUCCGAGUGGAAUCCUGGGGCCCUGUGUAGUGCCACAUAGCGUGGUCGCCAGCCUGCAGCGGCUGGAUCUGCCGACCAAGGAAGACUUCCAGCAGGUCUAUGCCGGUGACCCCCCUCCUGACAACAUCCACGAGUGCCUCAACCAAAGGCUGGAUGUCAUUCUUCUCAGCCUUCGAGAGCGCGAGGUUCUUGGGCGGAGCGGGCCGGUCUAGACUAAACGGAGGCAGCCCAGUCGAUGCGUUCGGACAGGCGAUGUCCUGGCAGUAGAACCACAUCGACUGCCAGUUCCUCACCGACUCACUCAACUGGAGAGCAGGAUAGCUGCUCCGACUCUUCUUCUGGAAUCCUAAACCACCACAGAGCUGGAGGAGGUGCGUCUUAUCGUCCGACUGACUAAGACGUUUGAUGGUUUGGGAGCGGGCGGAGAAGAUGUGUUUGAACAAACCCCAAUGUGGGGGCAACCGAUGAAGCACUCACACAAAACGAUGAAAGCAGAGAGAUGGGCGAUGGCAUUCGGAGGAAAGUGAUGGAGUUGAGCCCCGAAGUGAUUCAUGAUGCCUUUAAAAAAGGGGUGUGGGGGCAAAGAAAAACCUCUGUGAACAUGGCUGAGGAGCAGGAUGCGCUCCUCCUCCCGAGGCGUCGGCUCGACCUCGUCGUCCGCCGGCAACCUCCAGGACUUAUGCAUGAGCAUUCCGUGCUCCACCAGCUCCAGCAAAUAUCCCUCUGUCACCGUGGAGGGGAGGAAGUAUCCUUGGAUCCACCCCGCCGGCAGCGUCCGCCGCCGCCAUUGAGCAGCCGCCGCCUUGUUCUUCUUCUUCCUCGCCUCCAUCUUGCUGGUCUGACCCUUGGUCAUGGAGGCGACGGCGAGUCCUCGAGAAGGAGGAGGAGGAAGGAGUGUAGGAGCGCAGGUGGUGGCGAGGAAGACGGAGCAGGCGAGAGCGAAAGAUUCGGCGAGCGUAACCGAGGAGUCUCGUCGCCCAGAGUUAAAUAGAGCGCCGACCGGGUCACUGGCGAAUGGGCCCGAAAUCUUAUCCACCCGACCGGCCGCGGCGAUAUCAGUGGAGGAGUUGAAGGCGCGAGAAUCGAGGGGUCAGGCGCUACUCGAGCGCGCUGGCGUCAUCCCCGCUGAGCGCGCGGAACCCGAAAUUUGAGAUCCCGGAAAAUCCGCCGCUGUCAGUUGACCGGUCGCGUCAAAAGAUGCCGCGGAAGCACUCGGUUCCCGACAGUCUGUUUCGCAAACCUUUCCACUCGGAUCGCUGGUCAGGAAAGAUAAAAUGGAUAGAGGUAAGCAACGCCCAAGCCGAACCUAGUCCAGUCAGAUCUGAACCUCAAGCACCGCUUCGGCGUUUCAACCCCAAUCCAUUCGGGGACUAAUGAUGGGUUCAUAGUCCUAGGGUAGGGUCAUAGGCCUGCCCUACACGUCCCUAUCCAAGGACUACCCCACGCAAAGGACAGGGCCCUAGGUCUAUUCCGACUGAAUUAAGGAGUCCCGGUCAUCCAGUCGGCAACAGGCCAUGAACCAUCCAGUCGGAGACUAGCAUUCGGAGGCAAUCAAGCUAACCGACUGGAUACACUCGGUACGUCAUAACCUCUCUGGAGGGAAACUGCCGUACGUUUUCGGGUGCAUUUAUUAGCAUUUAGAGCAUACGUUAACUAUAAUGUACGCAUUCAAUCGCCACUACUCCACCCUUGAAUCAGAACCGUUGUGGAGGGCCGCGCACUCUAUAUAAGCCGCCCUCCCCCACUGGUAAAAGGGUUAGCAAAUCAUUGUACUCCAUAUUACACUCGGUAACAAGCUCCGAGAGCACUGAGACGUAGGGCUGUUACCUCCACCGUAGAGGGGCCUGAACUCAUACAACCUCGCCGUAGCUAGGACUCUGCCCAUCUCAUUCGUACCCUACACAUCUACUGUCAGGCUUAUACCCACGACAACCACCAACCUUCGGCCCGAGCCCUCCUCCAUCGCGUGGACCCCUCCAUCGCCUCGGCCGGCCACCGGAGCAACCUUCCCGCCGUCUUCUCCAACUCCGGCGACUAACUCCAGUGAAAUUCACGAAAUCCCGUAUUGCAGUUUUUUUAGAAAAUUGCAAUCUUAGAAAAUUCAUAUCUAUUAGUCUAUAACUCUGAAUUAGGUGAUUCUUUUUGCCUUGGAUCACAAAUUUUAUGUAGUUACUGAAGAUAUAUAAUUUGUCUAUGUUUGGAUUUAUAAAAUUUGAAUUAGAUCAGAUUUGGUUUAAAUCCUGUUUUGCUUAUUCUGGGAGUUUAAAAAUAGCUUUUAAUUUAAUUCUUUUUGCUUCUAUUUCCUAGUGAUCAUAUCUUUUAGUAGUUUAAGUUUCAAUUUUUUUAAAUAUUUGUACUUUGGGGUUUUACCAAAACAGAUUAUGUUUUAGUUCUUUUAGGAUUAUGACUAUUUCUUUUUCUAUAAUUGUUUUUAAAUUAUUUACUUUUAUAUUUCAUAAAGUUUAUGUUUAGUUUUUGUUAGUUAAACAGUAGGUUCUCAACAAGUUUUUAUUUUUAUUUUAUUUGUUAUCAUGAAAUCAAUUCUAGUUCUCUAAUAACUUGUAAUUGAUUUCUCUACUGUUUCAACUCUUAUUUGAAAAUACUUUCAAAAUAGUUUUAUGUAAAAUACUUUAUUUUAUCUUGGUUAAAUUUAUAUCUUAGUUCCCUGUUAUUUAAUGUUCUAUUUUCUGUUAGAACAAAAAAACUAUUAAGUGUUUGAUGUAGUAGAAGACUCCUAGUUUUAGUUGAAGUUUCUUUUGGAUUCUUAUUCGCUCUCUCUUUUGUUUUGAUUGCUAGAAUGAUUGCUAGUAUGAGUGCUUACGUGAAUGAUAUGGUUGUUAUAUAGAUUUCAUCGGAGAGUGACGAGUAGUCUAUCAAGUUAUUCCUCGAGAACGAAAAUUCUUCUUCGUCAACAUCACCAGGCAAGUCAUUUGAUCAUGUAUCACCUAUGUUUUAUGCAUCGUAGUUCUACCAUCCUAUGCCCAAUUGCAUGCUGAGUAGGUACUUGCAAAUAUUGGUUACAUAUUGUAGUAUCAUGUGGUAGGCACCCAACAACCCCGUUAUUUGGCCUGGGACGAAAAUUUCAUAUUGCUAUGCUUGAGUAGACGGGAUUCUGGUUGAGAGUUUAUCACGAGUGAUGCGAGAAUAAUUUAAUAACCAAGACCGGUUAAGUCAAGACUUUUCAAGACCUCGUGAUGCAAUGCAACUAUGGGUGAAGGAUGGUUGAUCGGCUCCCUGGAGAAACCAGUGGAUGACCCGGGAUGGUGGAGACGUGGCAUGACAUCUUGCGGAAAGCUUCACCCAGGCUCAAAGAGACGGAUGGAUAUUUUCAAGACCCAAGGCUUACCUGCACAACACAAGUCAUUAUGGGCUCUGGCUUGGUUGGUCAACGCGGCGACUCUGGACAGGCUGUGCCAGCAGAUGUAGAAGAACGGUAGGAUUUGGAUGGGCACCGACAGGGAUUCACAGGGACCCGUUGAAACACCAUGUUUUGAUCAUCCGGUCUUCAAACACCCUGAAGUGCGAGGACAUACCCGGAGGCGAUCAAAUCUUGUGGGGAACCUGUGCAAAACUCUGCAGAGUAUUCAAACCUAAUCGAUUAGCCGUGUCCAUGGUCAUGGACAACUUGAGCCAAAGGAACUGAAGUUAUCUCAAAUUCUCAACACAAAUAAUAAUAUUGAUGUGGGUAUUAUUGACAACAUGGGUACGAGAAUUGGUUGGUGGAACCAUCUCGUUAACAACCAACAAUGUAGUAACAUUUUUCUUUUAGCCCUCUCUUGAUGUAGGAGAAAACCUUGCUUUUCGCUAAAAACUUGCAGCCCCACCUGCCAUAUAUGCAUAUAGAAUAGAUGAUUACUUUUUUACCUCUCUCUUAUGUGACUUGCCGGCAUAUUCAAUAUGCUAACGUACACGUCUGCAACGUCUUAUGUUAUAGAUAUUUUUCUUCGACAAGUAAGAGUACGAUUCAGGGUUACGGUCUACUCUCAACCUGUCGUUGAUGUUUAUUGGGACUCCACUCCCUUUGACAGUUUCCGCUGAGAUUUUGAGGUAUAUAUCAGUUUUACGUUAUUUACAUGUGAUUGCACUUUGAUAUAUACAUUGAUGUACUGUGUGUGCACAGAUACAGAGAGGCUUGACUCGUUUUGAGUCGGGUCGCUACAUUGGGGAUGCUUGCUAGAGGUUCAACCAUAAGUGCAUAUGAUCUAAGUACGGAAAGUGUGUUAGCGUAUGUCUCUCCCUCAUUGCACAUAAUAAGUAUGUAUCAUGUUGUAUUCAAUUACCUAUGGACAAUCUUUCUCUUGCUUUACAUAAAAAGCAUUCUACUAAACAUCCUCUAACUUUUAUUUAUUUGCUCUUUCUUUUUCCGCAAAAUAGUUUCAUACUUGUUCUAGGUAAAGUAAGCGUUUGCGAGCGUACAUUUGUAUCGGUGGUUGACAGAACUUUAGAGAAUAUUAAUUCUANNNNNNNNNNNNNNNNNNNNNNNNNNNNNNNNNNNNNNNNNNNNNNNNNNNNNNNNNNNNNNNNNNNNNNNNNNNNNNNNNNNNNNNNNNNNNNNNNNNNNNNNNNNNNNNNNNNNNNNNNNNNNNNNNNNNNNNNNNNNNNNNNNNNNNNNNNNNNNNNNNNNNNNNNNNNNNNNNNNNNNNNNNNNNNNNNNNNNNNNNNNNNNNNNNNNNNNNNNNNNNNNNNNNNNNNNNNNNNNNNNNNNNNNNNNNNNNNNNNNNNNNNNNNNNNNNNNNNNNNNNNNNNNNNNNNNNNNNNNNNNNNNNNNNNNNNNNNNNNNNNNNNNNNNNNNNNNNNNNNNNNNNNNNNNNNNNNNNNNNNNNNNNNNNNNNNNNNNNNNNNNNNNNNNNNNNNNNNNNNNNNNNNNNNNNNNNNNNNNNNNNNNNNNNNNNNNNNNNNNNNNNNNNNNNNNNNNNNNNNNNNNNNNNNNNNNNNNNNNNNNNNNNNNNNNNNNNNNNNNNNNNNNNNNNNNNNNNNNNNNNNNNNNNNNNNNNNNNNNNNNNNNNNNNNNNNNNNNNNNNNNNNNNNNNNNNNNNNNNNNNNNNNNNNNNNNNNNNNNNNNNNNNNNNNNNNNNNNNNNNNNNNNNNNNNNNNNNNNNNNNNNNNNNNNNNNNNNNNNNNNNNNNNNNNNNNNNNNNNNNNNNNNNNNNNNNNNNNNNNNNNNNNNNNNNNNNNNNNNNNNNNNNNNNNNNNNNNNNNNNNNNNNNNNNNNNNNNNNNNNNNNNNNNNNNNNNNNNNNNNNNNNNNNNNNNNNNNNNNNNNNNNNNNNNNNNNNNNNNNNNNNNNNNNNNNNNNNNNNNNNNNNNNNNNNNNNNNNNNNNNNNNNNNNNNNNNNNNNNNNNNNNNNNNNNNNNNNNNNNNNNNNNNNNNNNAUUUUUUUAAUUUAUGAUCGAAUUAUGAGCUUGUUGCAUUGAACUAUUUGUUUUGUAUUGAUUUUUGUGACAAACUUUGUCAUAAAAAUUUAGUUUUUAUUGAAUUUGUGCCAAAAGUGAGCCGAAUUUGGACAAAAAUGGGCCGAAUUUGCUCCAAAAUUGGGCCGAAAGCGUCGGCAGGGGGCUCCCUUGGGGGUCGGCUGGGAACCCGAGCCCCCCCCUCGCCGAAUUUGGCGUCAGUUCGCCCCAAACCGGCGCUAUUUCAGGCCCUUGGGGGGCGAACAGGUGGAGAUGCUCUAAGAAUCUGGAGCACAACACAAAAGAGAAUUUAUGGCAUGCAACGACGGACCGACCUCUUUUUUCGCUUUUAAUUUUUUAAUGUUUCAUAUUCAUAUUUCUUGUGACGAGGACUUUCAAAUAAGGAUAAUUUUAAAUACGUUUUGACAAGCUAUUUUUUAGUUUCAAGUGUUGAAACUUAAUACAAAGAACGAUAAAUUCCAUAAGUUUUAGGAACUUAAACUUAAAACUUCAUGUGCCCUCGUGUAAAACCCAAUGACUUUAUGAAGCAAUCAAACGACUGGGCAAGACUGCGCAGCUGCUAACCCCUAAGAAUUUCCGAGCAUAACAUAGGCAAAAGUAUUAAUGUUACCACGGUGGUAUAUUCGUGCGUUGCAUGCCUUCUGUUUUAACUACUUUAAGUUGACUUCCCUUGCUUUUUUGAGGAGAACUUAACUAUAUUAUAGAAGGAUUUAACUAUUUAAAGAUGUGAUGACUUGUUAAGAAUAUAUUGGACUCCUUUAAAAAGGCAUGUCAUAGGGUUUUUGGAGGAUUUAAUAACCAAGACCGGUUAAGUCAAGACUUUUCAAGACCUCGUGAUGCAAUGCAACUCUGGGUGAAGGACGGUUGAUCGGCUCCCUGGAGAAACCAGUGGAUGACCCAGGAUGUUGGAGACGUGCCAUGACAUCUUACGGAAAGCUUCACCUAGGCUCAAAGAGACGGACAGAUAUUUUCAAGACCCAAGGCUUACCUGCACAGCCACAAGUCCUUAUGGGCUCUGGCUUGGUUGGUCAACGCGGCGACUCUGGACAGGCGGUGCCAGCAGAUGUAGAAGAACAGUAGGAUUUGGAUGCCCACCGGCAGGGAUUCACAGGGACCCGUUGAAAGACCAUGUUUUGAUCAUCCGGUCUUCAAACACACUGAAGUGCGAGGACAUACACGGAGGCGAUCAAAUCUUGUGGGGAACGUGUGCAAAACUCUGCAGAGUACUCAAACUUAAUCGAUUAGCCGUGUCCACGGUCAUGGACAACUUGAGCCAAAGGAACUGAAGUUAUCUGAAAUUCAACACAAAUAAUAAUACUGAUGUGCGUAUUAUUGACAACAUGGGUACGAGAAUUGGUUGGUGGAACCAUCUCGUUAACAACCAACAAUGUAGUAACAUUUUUCUUUUAGCCCUCUCUUGAUGUAGUAGAAAACCUUGCUUUUCGCUAAAAACUUACAGCCCCACCUGCCAUAUAUGCAUAUAGAAUAGAUGAUUACUUUUUCACCUCUCUCUUAUGUGACUUGCCGGCAUAUUCGAUAUGCUGACCUACACGGCUGCAACGUCUUAUGUUGCAUAUAUUUUUCUUCGACAAGUAAGAGUAUGAUUCAGGGUUACGGUCUACACUCAACCUGCCGUUGGUGUUUAUUGGGACUCCACUCCCUUUGACAGUUUCCGCUGAGAUUUUGAGGUAUAUAUCAGUUUUACAUUAUUUACAUGUGAUUGCACUUUGAUAUAUAUAUUGAUGUACUGUGUGUGCCAGCAUACUGAUCUAGGGAUGGCACAGAUACACAGAGGCUUGACUCGUUUUGAGUCGGGUCGCUACAAAAAUGGUAUCAGAGCACAUGUUGAUUGUAGGACGUGACCCUAGAAACUGGAAACUUCUUAGGAUAGGAUCUCUCAAAAAUCUUAUUUUUGGGAACACCUUUCACUUCUCAUCUCUUCUGAUUUCAUCAAAUGUUCUCUCUCACCUUAAAUAGUUAUACAAUCCCCUUACCCCUUUGACCUCAUGAAGAAUCAACGGAGUUCUACUUCAAAGUAAAGAGGAUUUCGACAUGCAUUUGAAGAAUUGAAGGUGCACCAAUGGAAGACUCUCAAGACUCGAAGAAUUCGAAGACCCUGAAUUGUUCUAAAAAUUAUAUGACCAUUAGAAGUCCAAACCCCUUUUAUAUACCCACGUUAGAUACGAUGAUUUGUGAGCCUUCAUUGGUGUGUGUUUUCCGACGGCCAUAAAUAAAACCUAUUCUCAAAAAUAUUUUUUGUAUUGUGUGUAUCUCCCUCCCUCUCAUACCCAUCUCAACCCCAAAACCUCAACCCUACCAGAUGGAGUAUGAAGCUGGAUUCGUAAUCUCUGGACUAAUGACCCAGCUGGAAGAUGAAAUAUGGAUUCAGAACAUGGAGAACCACUUCGGGAGCAAUUUUAUUUCAAGGAAGUAUGAAGUGGCACACGCUCUUUUGUACUUUAUACAAAGUGCUGCAAUCUGGUGGAAAAUGCAUCAUGCCAUACAAGGAUUUGGUGGAGCAGAAACUUGGGACGAAUUCCCGACUUAUUCAGAAGUGCUAUGAUAAUCCGAAGGAGAAGACUUGUGCAUGCAAAAUCUGUGGAAAAAUAGGACACACCCAGGAAGAACACAAGGAUGGAUGCACUCAUUGUGAAGAAAAUCACCCAGCUAAGGAGUGCCCAAGUAGUCAGGUGACUUGUUUCCUUUGUGAAGGAACCACCCACUACCCAGCUCAAUGUCACAUUUACCCCAAGGUACAACAAGUUGUCCAGCAGCAGAAAGAAGCAAUGAAGGAAACACUUAAGAAGAAGAUUCAAGAGCCGGUGAUGAACGAAAAUAUUGAAGACCUUGAUGGACAAGGUCUGACCAGAUUUUUCUCCAAUACAUGCUACUCAUGUGGAGAAGGGCAUUAUUCACAGGAUUGCACGAAGGGAAGCCAAGAGUAUCUGGGAAACUUCCCGACGGAAAAAGUGGAGUUUGAUCCCCUUGAAAUAGAAGAACUCGCCAAAAUAAAGGAGUCCAGAAAGAAAAAAAGGUACCCUCGGAAGAGCCAAAUCUCUGCAGAUAUAGACCUAAGUCAUGUCAGAUGUUACAAGUGUAUGGAAUUUGGCCACCACAAAUACAUGUGCUCAGGAAGGAAGCCGGAAACCCAAGGAGCAAAAGCAAACACUAAGACGUCUCGAGACUUGUUAGAACUCAUUUGCUUUCGUUGCAAGGAAGCAGGACAUUUUGCAAACGAUUGUCCACAAAGGAAGAAAGCUAAAAAGGAGUAGUUAAGUUUUGACCGCGGCAAUUAGUGUAAUCUGAAGAACUCUUGUUUUUCAUGAGAUCAUGGAGUGAAAUUUUUUGUAACAGAAGUCCCUGAGAUUGUAAUAACAUCAUGAAUAAAUGGAAUUUAUUGUCUCAUGAUUGCCUAUUUUGAAAUUGUAUGGGUUGUUUCUCUUCGAACAAAGAUCUCUGAACAAUUAUGAGGAUAUGAGAAAAUAUGGUCUAUACACGCUUGAGUAUAAUUCAUUUUAAGUGUGGUAGUAAUCGGUAAACCCACAGGAUCCACUGAGUAGGAAUGUACCAUAACUACCAAGGAGACAUAUACAUUCCUCUGAGUACCUAUUUACUGACACCUGCAGAUGACAACUUUCUACGAGUCAUUCCUCAAGGGCCCAGAAACGAUCAUGACCCUGACGAGUGGUCAUGAUUACCCAAAAAUCCUGAAGGACAUGAUGAAGCACAUUCAUCUUGAAGGAGAUGCAGUCUACAAAGGCUACCCAUUCAUGGAAAGUGGAGUAGAACUUUGGUAUGUGGAAGUACACCUCCACCAUGUGAAAGGAGUUUGUCCAAAGACUAUGGGGCAAUACUUUUUCAUUUCACAUGUACUACGAGCAACCUUCUUUGAUGUUGUUCGUGAAGCUGCCAUGGAAGCCAUACGCCAAAUUGGAGAAAUACUUGAAGCAAGACUCCGUCAUACCCAGGAAUACCAAAGUGAAGUGCAUGCGGAGGUGAUGGAGCUGAAGCUCGUGGCCACCAUGAGAAAGCAAAAGAUGGAUGAUUUCAAGGAACACAUUGGAAAGUUCGAGUGGAACUAAAGUAUCUACAAGGGAGACAAAAAAAUAAAGUUGGCAGAAAUGCUUGACCAUACCGAACAAGGUGGAUGGCAGCAUUUGUAAUAAAGUUAUUUUUGAAUUUGGAGUUUUGAGAAGAAAUGAAGGAUGUAAUAAAGGAUUGAAUAUGAAAUGAAUAUGAUUUAUGGAUGAAGCAAUAACUUUUAUGGUAAACACACCCAUGGAAAAAAAAGUAUCCCACAGAGUGGCGUGUGAACCAAAAAUAAGUUUGAGGAUUUUAUUAUAUGAUGGUUACCCCAAGAGUAGGAUGGAAUGAAAUACUAUAGGAUUUAAAGGCAGAGUAAUUCCAGGUAUGCCUGCAACCCACAGACCCCGGGACUAAUAAGGAUCAAGUACUACCUUUACGAAGAAAGAAACUUGGAAGAAGCUAUGAUGGAUCAACAAACUUUUUCUUAGGAGCACACGAAAACCUGAGAGUUGUGAAGAAAUGAUAGAUGUUUGUUCAGCUUGCAGAAUCAUUGGAUUUAUCCGAACUUCGUGGACAAGAGGAAUUCUGCAAUGCUUGUGAGGAUGCCCAAGUGUUAGAAUACGAGAUUCACUAAGCCUUGUACAACGUAAUGAUUUCAGUGCGACAUGGCUUGGCCACCAUGACGACUUACUAUUAUCAUUCUCUUGCUAUUCGGAAUGGUAAAUCUGAGAGACUUACCCAUAGUGAGAGACGACGUUCUUUGAAGCUUUUGUUUAAGCCUUAGAAUGGUAUAAGAAAAGCCCAUGUACAUGGCACUUGCUGUCCCGCGAAGGAAAUUUUACGGUGAGGAUGAAGAUAAGACCUCUCUCUCUGUAGGAUAACCACAAAUGGUAGACCACCAUGAGAAUCAUCGAUAUGUUAUUUAGAAUGAUCACGAGACUUGUCACUUAAGAAGAUCCAGUGCCGGAAGAAGCUUAAAUCCACGUAAGACAUCGUAUUCUGAGGGGAACAUUAUGAGUAUAAUGGAAGAUCAUCACCAAAGGAGUUACGAUGAAGAAUGUGACGAGCCAGAUGCCAAGACCCCAGAGGAUUGUGAAAAUUUUGAGGGACCGAUAACUCUCAUUUUAAGUGUGGUAGCAUCCCACCUUGCCGGAGGUUGGAUUUGUUAGAAGACCCCCAAACCCUAACCUUUCUUUCUAGCCUCUUCGAAUCUCGAGGACGAGAUUCAUUUUAAGUGUGGUAGGUUUGUUACAUCCCAAAUUUUGGAAUGUUAAUAUAAUUAUUAGGUUGAUUGUUUGUUUGUUUGAGUCAUUGAAACUUGAGUGAAGUUUGAAACUUUUUAAAAACUUUUGAAUGAGAGGGAAUAAAAUGAUUUUCCCCUUUUUCCUGUGAAUUCAAAUUCAUCCAUUUAAAAUCAAUGAUGAGAAGAUAGCAUGACUUCUUCAACUAUAAAGAAUUUGAAUCAAGGUGGCAUUGGAACUCUUUCGAUUUUUCUUUGCAUUUUGUUUCUUCCUCACUCACGGAAUGUCGGGAACCAUAUCUUGUCAAGCAAGAAAAAGAGAGGAGAAAACAUGACCCUCUAAACCCGGGGAUAUUCUUUAAAAUAUUUGAGCCAUGACACCCAAGAUUUAUUUGAGUAAUUAUUUGCAAAAAGAAAUAAAGCAUUUAGGGGAUUUACUGAAAAACAUUUUUUUAAAAGUUUUUAUUUCGGCCGUGGAAAAAUGUCCAUCAUUUAUAUUUUAUUUUUCUGAUAAUUUUAGUAUGUAGAAAUUAUAUAUUCCGAAUUUAUUUGGUAUCCCUUUUAUCAUUUACUUUCCGGUUUUUGUAAAUAUGAAACAGAUAUUUUUUAUUUGGAAAUAGAUCGGUGGCCCAUUAACACUCUCCAAAUCUGGCCCGACAGGAUCAUCUUCGUCCUCACGUUCUCCUACCUCACGUCACAGGAAACUUCCAUAGCCAUGGUGAGAGAAAUCUCCACCUUCCCGAUCUCCUUGCUCCUUCCUUCUCCGAGCACCCUCAGCCCCUAUAAAUACUCCCCUCAACCACCUCUCCCCAUUUUCCCAGUAGCCCAGCCCCUCCCCUCUUUGGAACGCAGCCCCCACCUCGCCGGAGUUCGCCUCCAACAGGAACUCGCCAGAGCUCUUGCUGCUCCCUCUCGUCGCCCCCACGCCCCGCCGGCACCACCAACCUUCGCCCGAGCCCUCCUCCAUCGCGUGGACCCCUCCACCGCCUUGUCCGGCCACCGAAGCAACCUUCCUGCCGUCUUCUCCAACUCCGAAGACUAACUCCGGUGAAAUUCACGAAAUCCCGUAUUGCAGUUUUUUCAGAAAAUUGCAAUCUUAGAAAAUUCAUAUCUAUUAGUCUAUAACUCCGAAUUAGGUGAUUCUUUUUGCAUUGGAUCACAAAUUUUAUUUAGUUUCUGUAGAUAUAUAAUUUGUCUAUGUUCGGAUAUAUAAAAUUUGAAUUAGAUCAGAUUUGGUUUAAAUCUUGUUUUGCUUCUUCUGGGAGUUUAAAAAUAGCUUUUAAUUUAAUUCUUUUUGCUUUUGUUUCCUAAUGAUCAUAUCUUUCAGUACUUUAAGUUUAAUUUUUUUUUUAAUAUUUGUACUUUGGGUUUUUACCAAAACAUAUUAUGUUUUAGUUCUUUUUGGAUUAUGGCUAUUUCUUUUUCUAUAAUUGUUUUCAAAUUAUUUUAUUUUAUAUUUCAGAAAGUUUAUGUUUAGUUUUUGUUAGUUAAACAGUAGGUUCUCAACAAGUUUUUAUUUUUAUUUUAUUUGUUAUCAUGAAAUCAAUUCUAGUUCUCUAAUAACUUGUAAUUGAUUUCUCUACUGUUUCAACUCUUAUUUGAAAAUACUUUCAAAAUAGUUUUAUGUAAAAUACUUUAUUUUAUCUUGGUUAAAUUUAUAUCUUAGUUCUCUGUUAUUUAAUGUUUUAUUUUCAGUUAGAACAAAAAAAACUAUUUAGUGUUUGAUGUAGUAGAAGACUCCUAGUUUUAGUUGAAGUUUUUUUCGGAUUCUUAUUCGCUCUCUCUUUUGUUUUGAUUGCUAGAAUGAUUGCUAGUAUGAGUGCUUACGUGAAUGAUAUGGUUGUUAUAUAGAUUUCAUCGGAGAGUGACGAGUACUCUAUCAAGUUAUUCUUUCGGAUUCUUAUUCGCUCUCUCUUUUGUUUUGAUUGCUAGAAUGAUUGCUAGUAUGAGUGCUUACGUGAAUGAUAUGGUUGUUAUAUAGAUUUCAUCGGAGAGUGACGAGUAGUCUAUCAAGUUAUUCCUCGAGAACGAAAAUUCUUCUUCGUCAACAUCACCAGGCAAGUCAUUUGAUCAUGUAUCACCUAUGUUUUAUGCAUCGUAGUUCUACCAUCCUAUGCCCAAUUGCAUGCUGAGUAGGUACUUGCAAAUAUUGGUUACAUAUUGUAGUAUCAUGUGGUAGGCACCCAACAACCCCGUUAUUUGGCCUGGGACGAAAAUUUCAUAUUGCUAUGCUUGAGUAGACGGGAUUCUGGUUGAGAGUUUAUCACGAGUGAUGCGAGAAUAAUUUAAUAACCAAGACCGGUUAAGUCAAGACUUUUCAAGACCUCGUGAUGCAAUGCAACUAUGGGUGAAGGAUGGUUGAUCGGCUCCCUGGAGAAACCAGUGGAUGACCCGGGAUGGUGGAGACGUGGCAUGACAUCUUGCGGAAAGCUUCACCCAGGCUCAAAGAGACGGAUGGAUAUUUUCAAGACCCAAGGCUUACCUGCACAACACAAGUCAUUAUGGGCUCUGGCUUGGUUGGUCAACGCGGCGACUCUGGACAGGCUGUGCCAGCAGAUGUAGAAGAACGGUAGGAUUUGGAUGGGCACCGACAAGGAUUCACAGGGACCCGUUGAAACACCAUGUUUUGAUCAUCCGGUCUUCAAACACCCUGAAGUGCGAGGACAUACCCGGAGGCGAUCAAAUCUUGUGGGGAACCUGUGCAAAACUCUGCAGAGUAUUCAAACCUAAUCGAUUAGCCGUGUCCAUGGUCAUGGACAACUUGAGCCAAAGGAACUGAAGUUAUCUCAAAUUCUCAACACAAAUAAUAAUAUUGAUGUGGGUAUUAUUGACAACAUGGGUACGAGAAUUGGUUGGUGGAACCAUCUCGUUAACAACCAACAAUGUAGUAACAUUUUGCUUUUAGCCCUCUCUUGAUGUAGGAGAAAACCUUGCUUUUCGCUAAAAACUUGUAGCCCCACCUGCCAUAUAUGCAUAUAGAAUAGAUGAUUACUUUUUUACCUCUCUCUUAUGUGACUUGCCGGCAUAUUCAAUAUGCUAACGUACACGUCUGCAACGUCUUAUGUUAUAGAUAUUUUUCUUCGACAAGUAAGAGUACGAUUCAGGGUUACGGUCUACUCUCAACCUGCCGUUGAUGUUUAUUGGGACUCCACUCCCUUUGACAGUUUCCGCUGAGAUUUUGAGAGAUAUAUCAGUUUUACGUUAUUUACAUGUGAUUACACUUUGAUAUAUACACUGAUGUACUGUGUGUGCACAGAUACAGAGAGGCUUGACUCGUUUUGAGUCGGGUCGCUACAUUGGGGAUGCUUGCUAAAGGUUCAACCAUAAGUGCAUAUGAUCUAAGUACGGAAAGUGUGUUAGCGUAUGUCUCUCCCUCAUUGCACAUAAUAAGUAUGUAUCAUGUUGUAUUCAAUUACCUAUGGACAAUCUUUCUCUUGCUUUACAUAAAAAGCAUUCUACUAAACAUCCUCUAACUUUUAUUUAUUUGCUCUUUCUUUUUCCGCAAAAUAGUUUCAUACUUGUUCUAGGUAAAGUAAGCGUUUGCGAGCGUACAUUUGUAUCGGUGGUUGACAGAACUUUAGAGAAUAUUAAUUCUAAAUUUAGCUCCUCAUUGGUCUUGACACUCUUACUUAUCGAAAAAUGCUUCAAAUGAUCCCCUACACGUGUCGGUUAUCAACCUGGUCGAAAUCUCAGAUGUGGGAGGUGAUAAAUUGUUGUGUCAUCUUGCACAACAUGAUCACUUAGAGCAAGCAGGAAGAGGGAGUGUUUGACAGUGAACCAUAUUUUAGGUAGGGUCCUCUUGUAGGUGUUGAUCACCACGUACCGACAACAUGGGGUGCCUUCCACGAUAUGCGCUAGGAGAUCCGAGAACCACAAGUGCAUCAAGAACUGCAGAACGAUCUGGUGGAGCACAUAUGGAGGCUUAAGGGCAGCACCUAGUUUGAUUUUUUUAAUUUAUGAUCGAAUUAUGAGCUUGUUGCAUUGAACUAUUUGUUUUGUAUUGAUUUUUGUGACAAACUUUGUCAUAAAAAUUUAGUUUUUAUUGAAUUUGUGCCAAAAGUGAGCCGAAUUUGGACAAAAAUGGGCCGAAUUUGCUCCAAAAUUGGGCCGAAAGCGUCGGCAGGGGGCUCCCUUUGGGGUCGGCUGGGAACCCGAGCCCCCCCCCUCGCUGAAUUUGGCGUCAGUUCGCCCCAAACCGGCGCUAUUUCAGGCCCUUGGGGGGCGAACAGGUGGAGAUGCUCUAAGAAUCUGGAGCACAACACAAAAGAGAAUUUAUGGCAUGCAACGACGGACCGACCUCUUUUUUCGCUUUGAAUUUUUUAAUGUUUCAUAUUCAUAUUUCUUGUGACGAGGACUUUCAAAUAAGGAUAAUUUUAAAUACGUUUUGACAAGCUAUUUUUUAGUUUCACGUGUUGAAACUUAAUACAAAGAACGAUAAAUUCCAUAAGUUUUAGGAACUUAAACUUAAAACUUCAUGUGCCCUCGUGUAAAACCCGAUGACUUUAUGAAGCAAUCAAACGACUGGGCAAGACUGCGCAGCUGCUAACCCCUAAGAAUUUCCGAGCAUAACAUAGGCAAAAGUAUUAAUGUUACCACGGUGGUAUAUUCGUGCGUUGCAUGCCUUCUGUUUUAACUACUUUAAGUUGACUUCCCUUGCUUUUUUGAGGUGAACUUAACUAUAUUAUAGAAGGAUUUAACUAUUUAAAGAUGUGAUGACUUGUUAAGAAUAUAUUGGACUCCUUUAAAAAGGCAUGCCAUAGGGUUUUUGGAGGAUUUAGGGCGGAUACUCGUCGGUCCAGCUUCACCAGCUCCGCGCAUGAAGUGGUAUCGAACGGCCCGGCUCCGUACAUCCAACAUUGCGAGGACAUGCCACCCCCCCCCCGCACUAUAAAACCUGGAAACAAGUCAAACCGAGCUCCGAGAAGCAGAAAUAGUGGAAAUGUGACUGAUGAGUGAAAGUUACGGAUCCGAAACAGGCGAUUCCUCUUCCCCGAGCUGUUCAUCUCCCUUAUCGUUGGAUGAUACACCACUCUAAUGAUAGAGGCCGUCGCCGCUAGCCCACGUCGAUGCCAUCACCGGUCGUUUGUCUGCCACGAGAGGUCCUCCAUCCCGCCACUUUAUUGCUGCUAUAUGCCCUAGAGGAAAUAAUAUUGUAUUAUUAUAUUUCCAUAUUAAUGAUUAAGAGUUUAUAUUCUAUGUUAUAACUGUUAUGAUUAUGGAAUAUGCGAUUCAACGAAAAAAUCAUAUGCACAGAUGGAAUGACAAACGGUUAAAUAAAGGUUACUAGUCUCACCUCUAAGAUUAGCUUAAGUGUGGUUGGUGAUCAUGUUUUUCGGAUCUUAGGAUAUUAUAAGUGUAACGAUGAUCCUAAAAAAAUUGACAGUACGACGUUAGAAGAACGAUCAUAUUGAAUCGACCCAAACUUGUUUCUUAUACUUUUAGAUAAUACAUUUCGAGAUCAAUUAUUAUAACAUUUGUUUUGUGUUCCUUAGACCAUGAGAGUAUUGUAGUCAAUUCUUAUCAUACAAUGAGCUUUGGGGUUGCUCAGACAUCAUCUAUAACUAGGUGAUGAUAACUACAACUUACAUGUUCAUCAGAAAGUUUGACAAGGGACUGGAUAGCUCGAGAGUUGGACUUGCUCCUCCAAAAAUGGAGAGAUAUUCUUAGGGCCCACUCGGUGUGAUGACAUUAAUAUCGUCUAGCCACACACAGGUGACUAUGUCAUGGGAACACAAGAAGACAUCAACGAGAAAGAACAACAAAACCAGUAAUGAGGGUAACGGUAUAAUGAAUAUGUGGAUGGCUCAGGAGGAUACCGAUGAUUCUCGGGUGUUGUAAUGUAUCGUCCAGCAAAGUGAAUGUCACAUGAUAACCGAUGUUUCACUUGAGUAUCAUUUAUGUACUCAUAGAGAUCGAUAUGGACGUCCAUGAUUCGGGAAUCGGUCAUCGAAUGUAGGAGUUUCGUUCAUGUCUAUGAAUUAUCAAACCUAUAGAGUUAGAAGCUUAAGGUAUACAAUUUUUUUGAGUGUUAGGUCAAGUGUCUCAAGGAUUUAUUUUCUAAAUUGUUUUAUUAAUGUCAGAAUAGUUUCAAGAGGAUCCGGAAGCGUUUCGGGGACAUCAGAAGGGUUUUGGUGAAUAUCGGGUAAUACAAGGUUUUAUCGAUAAAAAUAAUUUAGGUGAACAAUAUUUCCAAGGAUGUUAAAUUAUAUAUAAAAUGGUCUGAAAUUAUUUACAACAAUUUUAUACUUUAUUUAGUAUAAAUGGGCCUUAAAAAGCCAAGACGUGGAAGGCAACUUGGGCCACAAGGGCCCAUGUGGGGAAGGCGCCACUUCCCUUAGGAUGGAGGGUGAAUAAGAGUGGGGGGAGGGAGUCGAACUGCUCCUCCCCUUUGACCGGCAAUCCAAGGAGAGUUUCCCUCCUUGUUGGCUACCUCUCCCUCCCCCUAUAACCUAUAUAUACUUGAGGUAUUGGCCCAUCUGAAGAUACACAAAUUUUGGAGCCUCCUCCGAUUCUCUAGUUCUAGUUCUAGUUGUUCCUAGUUGUGUAAUUAGUGUUGGGUCUAGAUUCUCUAAUAGUCAUAAUUAUAAGACCGGUGUGGUUCUAAUUUCCUCCUUCUUAUUCUCCGGCAAUGAUUAGCUCUGGAGGAUGAAGCGCUACCGGAUCAUGCAGACUGUAUGAUUGCAAUCUGUAGAGAGGUCGUGCUUUCGGUCUUACGUUUGAGGGACUAAUCAUGGGCGGUUCGCAUAAUCAUUCAUCUACAGUUCGAGGGACUCCAAGUUCGAUCUUCAUCGUCACACUCUUCUUCCACUGCAACUCGGUGAAGGUAAUGAUCGUGAUCCUAACCAUUCUACUAUGUUUCCCAACAGUGGCAUCAUGAGUGGUUCUAUUAGUAGAUACAGGGAUUGCUGUUCUUGUUAUGCUUCCCUCAAGUGUUUCUUCAGUUCACUUCAUUGACGGUAUGAUGUGGCUUUAUUAAAAGUUCUGACAAUCGAACGGCUCUGGCUGUUGAAGAUCUGCUAACACUUCUUGGUCCUCAUCAGAAUCAAGAAUAGUGAAUUAUCAUGUACACAAGAGGGUGAUGAAGAUGUAUGAGCUUCUAGGGGGUCACACAUACUCACAAGUUUUAGUGUUGGUCUAGAGAUUAUAAUUAAGUCUCUUCCCUCACACACCCCAAAACUUAAUCUAGGAACAAGGACUAUCGCCUUAAUGGUGGACGUAGGUAGCUAGUGUUAUUCGGAAACCCUAGAAACCACGUAACUAAAUUUGCUAAAUUGAUUAGAGGUCGUCUAAUUUGGUUUUGCAGGAUUGCAUAUGAUGUGGUAUAGCCUUCGUCAUGAUAAUGAGUUUAUGUAUGAUAUGGUUAUACGUUGUAACAUUAAGAGCCUUUUCUUCAUGGCAUGAUGGCUGGAGCCACAUGAUUGCCAUGUUAGAGUAAAUCUCGUAGAUAUAGCCUACAUGUUACAAGCGACAAUGGCAAGUGUAAAUGGAAAACCCCUACAAGGAGAAGGUGUACUAGGCGCGGAAUGAGGAGCUAUAAAUUUCAUGCCACGGUACAAUUUCUUAAUUUGGUGCCAUGGCAACGUAUUCUAAAAUAGUCGCCACCACAAAAUUUUCUGAAAUAACUGGCAUGACAACGUUUUUGAAAGAGUUGCCACGACAAUAAAAUAUAGGGCGUCACGACAAUUAAAUUCAAAAUUUAAGAAGGUCAUGGAGGAUGCCUAGCUCCCAGGACCAUAUGAUAUCAUGCUUUGAUGAAAUGCCUCAGAUGUUUAUCCCUUUUAUUGUUUGCACCCUUUGAUUGCGAAGUAGUCAAUUACUAGGGUGAUCUCCCACUAAAAAUACCAAUUAGCACUCGGUUAUUUCCAAUGUUAUUUCCAAUGUUGCGACCAUCUAUAACACGUAGCUUUCUGGAUUGCAUCAUGUCCACAUGAAUACAAACGGAUCGUGAGGUGUAAGACGGGCAAGGUCAGACCAAGCAAGCAAAUAGCACUCGGUUGUCUUGAAGUUUUGGCAGAAUCAUUCUGAGCUCGGAGCACAAAUCAUCGAAAGAUGAACAACUGUCAAUUAUGAGAGAUAUUUAUUUGAGUGGGAGCAAAAAUAUGAAUUCAUAAAGUUUAAUCACUAGUGCAAUUAAUUAUAAAUAAUGUCUAUAUGUAGUUUGCAUUAUAGUUGUAGAAUAAUAGCUCACAGUUUUACCUUUUCUCUUGAAAUUGAUAGGUAUUUUUAUUUUCUGGUUGAAUCUUUAUGAUUGGUAAAGGUAAUCAGAGGAUCGUUUUCUAGAGUGCCAAAAAUAUUUUUUGCUAUUGCAUACUUAGAAUAUUCUCCAACUGAAGAUAUUGUCGAUGAGACUCACAUCCUUCAGUCCAAAAGGUUAUAAUCCUAUUAGGGUCUACUUGCAUCCAAGAAACAUGGACUUAAAAAGGUUUAGGAUAGUUAUGUGAUAAUCUUGAAACUAAAAAUUGUAUUCAGAAACAAACAAAGAUUAUAAGUUAUGUGAUAUCUAAAGAAGUGUUUUGUUUGCAAGAUAUAGUGAAGUGUUCAACUAUUUUUAAGACUAAAAUACACAUGACCGAGAAGAACAAUGGUCAUGAGUUGAUGGUGAGUACUUAUGACAUGUUUCUCGCAUACAGAGAAAAUGAAGAGAUUGUGCAAGGGAUUACAUUAAUACAUGCUCGAUGUAAGUAGUAGAUCGACAAAAUCUUCAUUGAUGCUCGAAGCAAUUUUUUAUUUAUAUUAAAUGAUUUAUGGUGGCAUGGUAAGUUGGAAUUGGUCCAAUAGAGUUACUGUGGUGAAUUCUAUAACACAGGGNNNNNNNNNNNNNNNNNNNNNNNNNNNNNNNNNNNNNNNNNNNNNNNNNNNNNNNNNNNNNNNNNNNNNNNNNNNNNNNNNNNNNNNNNNNNNNNNNNNNAUCCGAGUGGAUUUUGCAUUUGUGGCGCAUCCCCAAACAAACGGGCAAGCAGAGCGGGCGAAUGGGCUUAUUCUUCAAGGGUUGAAGCCUCGACUCCUGCGAGAAGUUGGACAUGCCGCCGGCGCAUGGGUCACCGAACUGCCUUUGGUGUUGUGGGGCCUCCGCACAACUCUGAAUAGAUCUACAGGGCGAUCCCCGUUCUUCCUCGUUUAUGGAGCAGAGGCAGUCCUUCCGAGUGACUUGCUUCACAACUCUCCACGGGUCGAACUCUUCUCCGAAGCUGAAGCAGAACAAGCGAGGCAAGACGGAGUGGAUCUUCUAGAAGAAGAGCGCGAGAUGGCACUGACUCGCUCAACAAUUUAUCAACAAGAUCUGCGGCGUUUUCACGCACGGCACGUCAGGAGUCGCGCAUUCCAAGCAGGCGACCUGGUGCUCCGAGUGGAUCAGCACAGACCUCACAAGUUGGCUCCCGCGUGGGAAGGACCCUUCAUCAUCUCUAAGGUGCUGAACAACGGGGCAUAUCGACUCUACAACCUCGACAGGGAAACGGACAAGCCGCGAGCAUGGAAUGGAGAUCUCCUGAAACGCUUCUACAUGUGACCGCCGACGGAGACAAUGUAAAGAACAAGUAUCAUUGAAGUAAUACAAAGCAGAUUGAUUUCUUGCAAGUUCAAAAUUCUUCCGCGUUUGCAGACUCCUGUCUAAAAAACUCACUCCGAGUGUGCACUAAAAGCCGCACUCGGGGACUUAGCUGCGAUCCAGAAUCGCCUAAGUACAAACUCGCUCCGAGUGCGCACUAAAAGCCGCACUCGGGGACUUAGCUGUGACCCAGAAUCGCCUAGGUACAAACUCGCUUCGAGUGCGCACUAAAAGCUGCACUCGGGGACUUAGCUGCGACCCAGAAUCGCCUAAGUACNNNNNNNNNNNNNNNNNNNNNNNNNNNNNNNNNNNNNNNNNNNNNNNNNNNNNNNNNNNNNNNNNNNNNNNNNNNNNNNNNNNNNNNNNNNNNNNNNNNNAAUGCGGCAAGGUGGGCUAUCGUGUUCGGAGGAAAAUGAUGGAGCUGCGCCCCGAAGUGAUUCAUAAUACCUCUGAAGAAGGGGUGGGGAGGCAGGGAGAAACCCCUGAACACGUGGCUGAGCAGCAGGACACGCUCCCCCUCCAUCGGCGCCGGCUCCGUCUCGCCCUCCGCCGGCAGCCUCCAUGACUUGUUGGCGAUCAUGUCGUGCUCCACUAGCUCCAGCAAGUCGUCUGCCGUCAUCGUGGAGGGGUGGAAAUCCCCCUGGAUCCAACCCGCUGGCAGUGCCCGCUGUCGCCGCUGAGCAGGGGCCGCCCCCUUCUUCUUCUUCUUCUGCGACUCGAGUUUGCUGGUCUGCCCCUUCGUCAUGGUGAAGGCAACAGAUCCACAGAGGAGGAGAGGAAGGAGGAGGC